rnacentral:lncRNA from 1 species
CAAAGAAGAUAUGAAGAUCCCAAGUCUCACCUUCGCCUUCCGCUACAAACGAAAUUUGGGAUAUGGGUUAUGUAACCCACUUUUGGAUUCAAAUAAAACGUUUCAGGAUUAGGAAGAAAACCCAUAUAGGAUUUCAAGACAACCCCAAGGCCACUCCAUCAAUUUGCCUUAAUAGGAAUUGGAAGGGGUUCAUACCGUACCGAACCAGGAUAGACGUAAAUACAUGCCUUUUAAUUGAUUUACCACAGCUGAACGAUGGGUAGUCACUUUUCAUGAAAAUGAAACCCUAAAAUUUGUUCUAAACUUUCAUAACAGCACUUUAGUUGAUGCUCCAUUAUAGCUUAUGUGUGAAAAUAUUGAAUUAAAUGAUGCUCAUUUAUAGGGUAAACGCAUCUAUAUAUGCAUCACAAGCCUUUAAAUUUAAAGACAAGGGUUCCUUUAACAAUAGAGUUGACGGUCUCAUCAUAAUCAAACUUAUGUUGUUGAUCAGUGGCGGAACCAGGAAUUUAAAACAUGGGGUAAAAAAAUAGCUUUAAAAAUUCCAUCAUACUUUCAUUUAUAAUUGUCCACGGUGUGUUCUCAUAUUUUAGAAACAUAGAAUCAGAACAUUUUUAUCAAUAGAACCAAAAACAUCUUUCUCAAUGUACACAACCAAACUAUCAUUCAACCCAUCUUAUUAAGAUGUGGAUUCUUCAUAAUUUUCAUCACCGAAAAAACUAUUUCAACUGAAGCAGUUGCAACAGUUAAAAUCAAUGUUAAUUUCACUAGCAAGUACACCAAGGGAUAUUGUCGGUCCCUCUUUGUCUCCGUCAACUUUUGUGCAAGGCUACUAAUCCCUUUCAACGCAGAAAACUCAUUAUGCAAACGACGUAGCUUUGUUAAAUUAGAAAGGUAUUAAUUUUUUUUUUAAGGGAUAAGUUUAGAAAAGGAUAAGUUUACAAGUAAAAGGUUAUUGGGAUAAGUUUACAAAGCAACGUGCUGCUGCAAAGCUGCUGUUGCAGGCUACUAUACGGGUUCAUAAAAUUUUCAAAGGGAUAACUUGACAAGGUUAUUGGGGUCAAAGGAUGCCAAUGCCCCCGCGUUGGCUCCGCUAGUGUUGUUGAUGACAACUUUUGGCAACAAGGCAAACUUCAUAGCAUUUAUUGGUGCCAAUGCCAUUUUAAUUGCGCUUGAUACGGAAUAGAGACUUGAAAACUCUCAUCACGUCCCUAAUCAAAUUUCGUGAACAGAAAGAGGAAUAUGGAAUGUCUUGUUAAGUUUAUUAUAAUCAAGUUUCAUAUGGUUAAUAUGGUACGUACUAUAUAUAUGUAUAUACCUUAUACAUUAUUUUGCCUAAGUAUUUUCUAUAUUAACAUGUGAACUCCCCAUAAGAAAUUUUUGGAAUGCUACUAACAACACCCAUUAACAAACAUAUAUAACAUAUAUAUAUAUAUACACACACACACACACACCAUAUAUAAAGAUUCUGCCAGUUAUAUUUCUUAUCAGUAGCAGAGGCCCCGGAGGAGAAAAAAUAACUAGUCUCUCGCCUCCCCUCUUCACUCUCUUAAACACUUCCCUCUUACUAAUUCAUCUCACUUCUUCUCAUCGAAAGACAGAAAGACGAGGAGGCAACAAAGGGAAUUCGAAAUUGUGGAGAUAUCGCUUCGCCUAUCUAUAUAAAAAAUUCUUCCUCGCUGCUUUCUUGAUUGUCUAGCUAGGGUUAGGGCUUUCUUUUUCUUUUCUUUUUUUUUUUUUUGUCAAAGGUUAGGGUUUUCUUUUUCCAAUAGACUCAAAAUUUAGCUAUAGAACUCUAAAAUUAUUCUCAUCGUGGGUUAAAGAAUAAGGAUCAUAAAUAAAUGUAUUAAAUUUAGGGUUGAUUAAUUAUGAACGAAUUAUUUUCCUUUUCUUAAUCCCAAAGGGUGUAUUCAAUUAGGAUUUUAAGGAUUUUAAUUCUUUUUAUGAAUAUUUAUCGUUCUCUGACCAUUAAUUUAUGCAAAUGAAAUGAUCACUGAUUCUUGUUCUUGUUAAUUCCUCUUUGCAGUUUGUUGUGAUAAAUCAAGUAAAACCUAAAAAAAAUGUCGUCAAACACUCAUUCACCGUGCGCUGCGUGCAAGUUUCAACGGCGAAAAUGCACGCAAGAAUGCGUGUUCGCCCCCUAUUUCCCACCAGACCAACCUCAAAAAUUCGCAAACGUUCACACGGUUUACGGUGCGAGCAACGUCGGCAAGAUCCUGAACGAACUCAAUGUUGCAUACCGUGAAGAUGCGGUGACGUCAUUGGCCUAUGAGGCAGAGGCUCGUCUUCGGGACCCGGUGUAUGGUUGUGUUGGUUUCAUCUCAUUUCUCCAGAACAGGCUUAAGCAAGUCCAGACUGAUCUCUACAAUGCCAAGAAAGAUCUGUAUGCCUAUGUUGGCCCUCAGGCAUUGAUGAUCCCUCUGUUGGGGGCUACCACUGGCCCUCCGCCCCAGCAGGGCUGCAGGGGAGGCCAGCUUUUGAUUCGCGACCAACAUCAGCAGCAAUUGUUCGAGGCUCAUCAGCAAGAGCUUGUCAGGUUCAAUAUCAAUGGGAUGGACGCCGCAGCGAGUUUGGUUAAUGGAAAUGGGUUUAGUCAGAUUCCCGCAGCUGCUGCUAGUACCGGUGUGGUGUCUGGUUCAUUGGGUUUGGGUGGAGCUUUUGAUAAUAACCAUUAUAACCAGAUCCAACAAGAAGCAGCUGCACAUCACCAGAAUUCCCUAGACCAUCAGCUUCAGGCUCGGCUGAUGCUCCAACCACACCCGGCCCAGGAAUCACAGCAGAAAUCAGAAGGCGAGGAGAGUUGAGAUUCUCCAUUGCAUGCCUGCCUUCUUCAAUAAACAAUUGCCCAUCCUUGGUAUGUACUAUGUACGUAGUACACUUUAUUAAUUCAUCCAUUGAUCGAUAGAGUAAAAUUGUACUAUAAAUUAUAAGAAAGUUGUUAUUAGCUCUCCAAAAUGAUUAUCCUGCACUUCAAUUUAUAAACAUACGAAUAAAAUUUGUAUAGAAAGAAGUGUGUGAUUCUUUUUGAAGUGUCAAUAACAGCUCCAACACCAAAAUAAAAAAAUUAAAAUUCUGGUUAUUUUUCCUGUUUGGUAGUUUUCUACUGUUUAUAUUUGCAUUAAGUGAUUGUGGUCUUAGGUUUAAGUUUGUGCCCAUGAAAGUGCUUCAGAAUUAGACGUAUGCUUUUCUUAAACGGGCAAAUGUUAUAUAAUGCUUUGACGUGCAAUUCGAAUUAAUGUUCCACGACUAAACUUGUAGCCAUAUCACCUUCUCAAUUCUGUAAGAUUUUUUUUGACGAUAAUUGGCAUUAUAUAUGGAUUCUUACUGGCAAAAUAUAUAAUCGGUGCCCUAUUAUAUGAUACAUAUUCUUCCGUCAGUAACACAUCAUUUGCAUGCCAAAGUGUGUGUGGGAACAAAACUGAUUAGAAAUAUGGACUUCUUACUUUAUUUUUCUAACAAAGGGUAGUUGAAGUACCAAUUGUUUGGUAUUUAAUUUGAAACCAAUUUAUAGUUUUAGAAAUGAUGAAUGAAAAUAUUGAAGCUAAUACUCCUUGAUUUCAAAAACAAAAAAAUAUAACCAAAAGGAUACGAAACAUGACCUAAACUUCGAUCGUAGAGGGCUUCUUAGGAUUCAUAAACAAUAUUUGAUCACCAGUGUACUCUUAGUAAGUUUGUUGCCCUUUAUCAUUUCUUCAAGGUCUACGUGUUUACGUAUUUGCUGUGCAAAAUCAGUUCUUUAAAUUUCUUUUCGAUUUCCCUUUUUGGAGAGAAGAGUGUCUUUCUUUGCUCAUUGUGGUGAGAAAGUUUGUUUCUGUGCUUUGAAUUUGUCCUGAAUUUUAAUAGAAGUUUGAAUUUGCCUUAGUCACUUGAGUUGCAAGCUCUUAGCCCAGUUUUGUGCAUGCUUUGUAUUUGUAAUUUAUCCUUUUUAUAUUGGAAAGGCUCACACAUAAACCACUCACAACCUAGAGCUCCAACUACACCAUUGUACUCUAUCAAAUUUCUCACACGUUCAUGAUGAGUAACAAUCUUUGGCUCUCAAGUUUCUCCUACAUUCAUUAAUUUGGUGUUUUCUUAAACCUUUGCACCCUUUUGUGUUGGGUUCUCCUGGCACAAUCACUUUCUCUUGACAGCAGCCGCCCCUUGACAGAGACACUCUCUCUUGCCCUUGAUACGGGACCUUCUUGUGUGCUCUGGAGUACUCGGUACUACCAGUGUUUUAACCGUUAGAUGUACUCAUGUACUUCUGUGCUUUAUCUUUUGUAUAUUGUAGUUUUCCUUCGGGUUUUAUCUUAUAUAAUUUUGUUGAUGAAUGCAAGACAUCAUGACAAAAACAUAGAAGGAUGCUAUAUGUAUCGAAGGAAAAUUUUGAAUUUGCUACAACAUAGAGGUUUAGAACUGUGGAAUGUCUUUCAGUACAUUGUAUAACUACUCCCGUGAUUUGUUAAUUAAAUGAUUAUUUCUUUACUUAUUUCCUCUAUUCCCCUCCAUUCUUUGCAGUUUAAUUUGUAAGUCCAGCACAGAGGUGAAGAUACAUACUGAAAGAUAACUCCAUUUAUGAGACUCCACUAAGAUGUGCAAGUGUAGCCAGACACUAUAAGUUGGUGAGGGAUUGGUUUCGAGCUUAAAGAAAAACUCUGAUUGGUGAUGUGAUUGAAUUGUAAAAUUAUGUUCUUGAGCAAAGACUUUCUUCCGAUGUGCAUUCUCCAUUGGUUUUCUAGUUAUUACUUAUGUUGUAGCAGUGGUUGGCUGGUUGGUUUUGACAUUUUGCAACGACAAUUGUUGUUAUUGGUAAUAAGCAGUAGUUAAUCGUUGUAGUAGUUCUUAGAUCCCACUUAAUGUGACAGUCGUACUAUGUGUUCUGGAGGUCCUAUAUAUGUUUUUAACAAAUAAGAGACUUUCAUCAUGUAUUAAGAUGAGUUGGGAACCACAAUUUGAAAAAAUUGUUACUGCAUACCUUUACAUUCAUUGUGAUUCUCGUUUAGUUAUGUAUGGAGUAUCUAAACAUCUUUUUAUUUCUUGUAUGCCAAUUUUACAUGUAUUAAUCAACUUUUUCAGAAACAUUUAAAGCUCUGGACCCUAAACCACUACUAGAAAUCUUGGCAUAGGGCACCUUUUUUGAAGUGUGGAUAUGGCAUGUUAGACAUCUGUUAAAGGUGCCCACUGAGCAUUAGGCACCAAGUGCGCACCGUACCAUCAAGAGUUCCCUAUAACAUAGUUUCUAAAGAUCAUUAGGCAACAAAACCAUCUUUGCGUAAGAAAGCCUUGCCCUAUGCCAACAUUUCUUGUAGUGAACCCUUAGCAAAUAAACUUUCAUGAUAACAAGAUUGGAAACUUUUCGGUUGGCACUUGUGAUAACACCUAUCAUGUUACAUUCCACUCAGCAAUAAAAUUUUCGAUUGUCACUUUAAAAAAAUUAUUGUGCAUCCCACUUUAUUUAUUUGUAUAAGAAAAAGUACAACUCAUCCCUGAUAUAAAGGGUUUAGUCGCUGUUGAAUUUCUACUAAUACAAAACACCCCUAGACAUAUCUAGCAAUACAUGCUGAGGAUGGCAUCUGCAUGCUCUUGCACCACCUUCCAAGCUAUGACUACGUGUUUUUCCUCCGUGAGAGUUGCACCAAUUGCACAACGUAACACAUACAUACCUCCCACCACAGCUGAGUCAUGUACACACGACCUGACCCAUUGAUGGCCUUCAGUAACCUGCAAUUUACCUCGUUAAUUACACCGUUUUCAUCACUUGGAAUUGGAGUAUUGUUGCUAAUUGCCGACGGUGAAACCCUGAAACAAACCAAAGAGAAAUUCCUCGGGACAACAACUUCAAACCUUUUUUCCAUCCCCACAAGCCCUUCAAAACGCUUGGCCAUUUUUACAUCACUUCUAAAUUCUAAUAAAGUUUCUAAGGUUUUCCACUCCAUAGUUUCUAAGCACAAGCCAUAGCUUCGUGGCCGGAAACCCUCGGGUUAAGGCUAUCUGCCAGUCUUUGUUGUCCACCAUUUGCUUUGAAUCUGUGGCCUUGUUCCUCAACCCCUCAAGAUUCACAGACAUUGAGUUUGUCAAUGCACUUGGAUUCUUAACCCAAAGGCAGCAACAAUUGAGAGUAGUGAAGAACCAUUUAUGCGCACUGAGACUGAACGAAUUUGCACACUCAAUUCCAUCAAUAAAAUGACGAAACUCAGGGCAAAUGCAAGCAUUCCCGGCAUAUGCAGCGUCCACAUGAACCCACAUGCCAUAAUCUUUUGCAACAUUGCAUAGUGGCCCCAAUGGAUCAACGGCAGCGGUUGCGGUUGUUCCUACUGUGGCACAUAAAUAAAAUGGAACCAACCCAGAUUUCACGUCUGAACAAAUCACCAAUUGUAGCAAUUCGGGUGAGAGUGCAAAUGAUGAUGAUCUUGUAGUCUCAAUGGCCCAAAAAAUUUUCGAGUGGAUUCCAACAAUUUGAGAAACUUUUUGGAGUGCACUAUGUGUUUGAUCUGAUCCAUACACCAAAUUUCCUAUAUUCUCUUUACCGAUUUGACUUAAGAUUUGAUCUCUUGCAGCUACCAUGGUGCAAACUACGGACUCAUGCGUACUCCCAUGUAACACACUGUUGUGCCUUGGUCCGUUCAUCAGUGCGGAAACGAGAUUCAGAUUACAACCUCACCAAAAUCACACUCAGUUGAACAGAAUAAAAUACAAGAAAUAAAGACACCGAGAAAUUUACGAGGUUCGGCAAAAAUCCUGCCUACGUCCCCGGAGAGAUAUUGCUCUUCACUAUGAGAAUAACAGUACAAGUACACAUGAGUUAAAUCAACAUAACCCAAUCCCAAAUCCCUUGCACACCCACUCAUAGAAUUUUCCCAAGAGCCUCACUCUAUCCCAAGAGUUCUUUCACUAGAAUACUUUUCACUCUAGCUCUCUUGAUUUUUCUCUCACCCAUGCCCAUGCUUUCCCAUGGGAGAGCCGAAUGCUCUCCCCCUUUAGAUGCUCUCUGAUGCCUUCUCAGGAGAGAGCCGAAUGCUCUCUCUCUCCUUUCUCCACUUCGGCUCCUUGCAAUUAAAUGGACAGAAAAGUGAGUCAACUUCUCCUUUUUUUCAUAGACACAAUGAUGAUCCAUCAUGCUCCCUUUUCUCAAAACCCAAAACCACUUUCGGCAUGCAAAUGGGAAAUGAAUAAAAAAUGCCAAAACAAAGGAAUCCCAUGAAACAUCAUCAUUGUCUUCCACUAUUAGCCAAAAUGAGAUAUGGACAUAUUUGGCCACUAUUCUGAAAGCAUAACACACAAAGUCACUUAAUUGUUAACAGCUCAAAAUAUGAGCCAAUCACAACAAUCUCCACCUUGGCGAAUAUACUGUGCAAAAAAUCCUUGCACCCAGCAUACACACACUAAAUAAACCUCGUUGGUCCUGUUCCGAUUCAGUCACUGCCAAUGCAUGUGCAGCUGCUGCAAGCUAAAAAUCACAAUUUAGCUUCAGACAGGAUCUCGACACAUCCUCGUCUCCUCCAAUAGGUUUUCCUCCUCUUCAUUGUCUGCAACCUGGAAACUCGUCAGCGCGCCCGUUUCCAGCAACAACCCAUCGAGCCAGACAAAAUUCCCACACUUCCUCCUACCUCAGGACCAUCUGAUCACCUGUGAAUCCUAUAGCUCCACCUGCUGCAAAACCCCUGCAACACUUGAGACUAAACAUCACCAGGAGAAGUGUUGCUUUUGAGUACCUAGAGGACAUACUCGAAGUCUUCCACCACAAACUUGCUACAACUCGGUCUAGCACCUGUAGCACUGUGGACCCUUGCCUCCGGAACCGGAUCUGAACCUGCUGUCUCUCUCAGAUCCUCUUUCCAAUUUUCUUCCACGAUUCCAACCUUUAAUAACUUAAGCAGUCUUGUGCCCACCAUUAUCCAUGGUCUCCUUUGUGUAUCAUUCCACACCAAAGAAGCUUGCACCUGCUCCAAACUUACUGUAACUUUCCAUGCAGUAAAGUUUCACAAGGUUCUAAGACAAAUCUGAAAGUGAGGUAAGAAGAAAGAGGCCUUUGUCUUCUUCCUCAACAUCAACUUUCGUAGUUGAUCUAAGCAUCCCUGAACACGGCUUCCAUUUCUUCAGGCUUCCAUUACUCUCCAUUACCAAGAGUAAAAUCGCCUCUCCCUUUAAACUGCUCAACUGAAAAUUCCAUGGUGAACAACAAAUCUGGACCUCCAACGAACCAAGCUUCCAACGAUGCUCUGAUACCAAUUGUUGUGCCUUGGUCCGUUCAUCAGUGCGGAAACGAGAUUCAGAUUACAACCUCACCAAAAUCACACUCAGUUGAACAGAAUAAAAUACAAGAAAUAAAGACACCGAGAAAUUUACGAGGUUCGGCAAAAAUCCUGCCUACGUCCCCGGAGAGAUAUUGCUCUUCACUAUGAGAAUAACAGUACAAGUACACAUGAGUUAAAUCAACAUAACCCAAUCCCAAAUCCCUUGCACACCCACUCAUAGAAUUUUCCCAAGAGCCUCACUCUACCCCAAGAGUUCUUUCACUAGAAUACUUUUCACUCUAGCUCUCUUGAUUUUUCUCUCACCCAUGCCCAUGCUUUCACAUGGGAGAGCCGAAUGCUCUCCCCCUUUAGAUGCUCUCUGAUGCCUUCUCAGGAGAGAGCCGAAUGCUCUCUCUCUCCUUUCUCCACUUCGGCUCCUUGCAAUUAAAUGGACAGAAAAGUGAGUCAACUUCUCCUUUUUUUCAUAGACACAAUGAUGAUCCAUCAUGCUCCCUUUUCUCAAAACCCAAAACCACUUUCGGCAUGCAAAUGGGAAAUGAAUAAAAAUUGCCAAAACAAAGGAAUCCCAUGAAACAUCAUAUUGUCUUCCACUAUUAGCCAAAAUGAGAUAUGGACAUAUUUGGCCACUAUUCCGAAAGCAUAACACACAAAGUCACUUAAUUGUUAACAGCUCAAAAUAUGAGCCAAUCACAACACACACCACCACCAUUGUCAGAAAAAAGAAAAGACUUGGGAAGUUUGAGCAUGUCUCCAGGCCAAUCCAUGACUACGGUUUCAAGCUCAGUUGCAGCUGGUGAUGCCAUCCAGUUGAACCCCACGACAUUGAAUCCCGUGGUGAGCAUUUCGCCGAGGAAUCCUGCCGUGCUGAUAGUUGCAGGAAAGUAGGCAAAGUGGUUAGGGUUUUGCCAAUGUGUUAUGCCAGGAACAAUAUGGUCCUGAACAUCUUGGAGGAUGGCUUCUAUGGGUUCAGGGUGAUAUGGGGCAGAUUCUGGCAAACGUUUUCGAAGAUAGCCCGGUUGGACUUGGCUUAGAAUCGGGUGUUUUUCUAUGUUUUGGUAAUAAUCUGCAAUGAAGUCUAUCAUCAUGUGUCCUUGUCUCCUGAACGCCACAAGGUCCAGAGGGUCUUUAGUCAUGUGGUGGACAGAGUUGUUUUCAGGUGGAUUGUCAAUAUUUAAGCUACCCAUUUGGAUAUUGAGGACGUACUAAAACUUAAUUACGAAAACACUACGUAGAAGACGAAAUCAAAAUGGCUUUUGAGUAGUACUUGAGUUCCAAGGUACGAGGAUAUAUGUAUUGGUUUGUUUAUAUAGAUGUAUUUUAGAAUAAAAUCCAAUCACACAAAUAAUUUGGCGACAUGUGCUCCACAUCACUCAAUAUAAUUAUGUGUUCGCCUUAUUUUGGCCUCACACGUGAGUAAAAUCUUCAAGGACUUUCUGUUUUUAUUUUUUGGAAGCAGGGAUUCAUUACCCAGGCAAAGAUGCCAGAAAUACAGAGAAAGCCCACAACAAGGCAAGCAAACAGGAAAGAAACAGAAACAGCGGACAGAAGAGGGAGUUACAAGGAAGACAUAAUAGCCAAGCUAGCAUGUCGCCCCCUCCACUGCACCCAAAAAAACCUUACGGAGGACAGGGUAAUCCAUCACUAUGGAGCACAAAAACCAGAGAAGAUGGGGGUCUAUUGACCCAUGAAACAUCGCACAUCUCCACACACCGAUGCGACGCCAGAGAGUCCGCCGUCAUAUUGGCUGAUCUUGGAAUCCAAGACCAGCGACAGUCCUGGAAAGACUCUCCUAACCUUUUAGCUUUCACUAAUGAAGGAAAGGCUUCCCAUCUGCCCAUCCCAAGGACUUUCUUUUGUAAUACUAAGACUUGCAUGCAUUGCAAGGCUUGAAUGCUCUAACAUUAACAAGGAAAUAAAAAUCUGGCCAAACUCAGGUACUUUGCCUAUAGUAGAAUUAAUCAAAAUUCAUAUCUUAGUACGUUGUUGUGUAGUACAAUUCUCUCAAGGGCCAAAUCAAGGCACAUAUAGUAGGUGGGCAAUUGCUUCUGCCGAGAGUUUUGGACGUUUUGUUAAUUUGUUUGGCUGGAGAAUAAUGAUAUGUCUUGUCCAACAAAUAGUUUUAGGCUAAAAGACUGUUUAUUACCUUCAUGUUUUGUGGUUUUCAACAUUUAAUACAUCAAGUUUUUUUCGUCUCAGAUUCAUACCUAAAGUGUAAAUUUUGGGACAGUCUCAUACAUCCGUUAGUCAAACUAUUAAAUCUGACGUUAAUUGUGACGUGGUGCCAUGUCAUCCACGUUUUUUUUUUCUUUUCUUCUUUCUUCUUCUUCCUUCUUCUGCAACUUUUUUUUUUCUUCCUCCUUCUCCUUCUUCCUUCCUCCUUCCUUCCCCUUCUUCUCCUUCUUCCUUCUUCUUCCUUCUUCUUCAUUCUCCUUCUCCUUCUUCUUCUUCUUCCUCCGAAUGUAGGGAAAAAUUUUUUUUCAUUUUUUUUCAUUUUUUUCAUUUUUUUCAUUUUUUCUUUCUUCUUCUUCUUCUUCCUCCGACUACAACAUUUUUUUUUUCUUUUCCUCCUUCUCCUUCUUCCUUCCUCCUUCUUCCUUCCCCUUCUUCUCCUUCUUCAUUCUUCUUCUUCUUCUUCUUCUUCCUCCGAAUCUGGGGAAGAUGAAGGUUUUUUUAUUUUUUUUAUUUAUUUUUUUCUUCCUCCUUCUUCUCCUUCUUCUCACUCUUCCUUCCUCCUUCUUCUCCUUCUUCUCACUCUUCCUUCCUCCUUCUUCCUUCCCCUUCUUCUUCUUCCUCCGAAUUUCUUACUCCGAAUCUGGGGAAGAUGAAGGUUUUUUUUCGUUUUUUUUUUCUUCUUUCUUCUUUCUUCUUCUUCCUCCUCCUUCCUCCAGCUGCAACUUUUUUUUUCUUCCUUCUUCUUCCUCCUUCCCCUUCUUCUUCUUCCUCCGAAUUUCUUACUCCGAAUCUGGGGAAGAUGAAGGUUUUUUUUCGUUUUUUUUUUUUCUUCUUUCUUCUUUCUUCUUCUUCCUCCUCCUUCCUCCAGCUGCAACUUUUUUUUUCUUCCUUCUUCUUCCUCCUUCUUCUCCCUCUUCCUUCCUCUUCUUCUCCUUCUUCCUUCUUCCUUCUUCCUUCUUCUUCAUCUUCCCCAGAUUCAAGGAAGAAGAAGGAAGAAGGAAAAGGAGGAAGAAAAAAAAAAAAAAGAAGUUGCAGUCAGUGGAAGAAGAAGAAGAAGAAGAAAGAAGAAGGAGGAGGAAAAAGGAGGAAGAAGAAGAAAGAAGAAGAAAAAAAAUAAGAACAAAACAAAACUUCCCCAGAUUCGGAGGAAGAAGGAGAAGGAGAAGGAGAAGGAGAAGGAAGAAGAAGGAAGAAGGAAGAAGGAAGAAGGAGAAGAAGGGGACAGAAGAAGGAGGAAGGAAGAAGGAGGAGGAAGAAAAAAAAGUUGCAGAAGAAGGAAGAAGAAGAAAGAAGAAAAGAAAAAAAACGUGGAUGACACGUGGCACCCAGUCAUGGCGCCACAUCACAAUUAACGGCAGAUUUAACAGUUUGACUAACGGAUGUAGGAGACUGUCCCAAAAUUUCCACUUUAGGUAUGAAUCUGAGACGAAAAAAACUUGAUGUACUAAAUGUUGAAAACCACAAAACAUGAGGGUAGUAAACAGUCUUUUACGCAUAGUUUUAUUCCACUUAUUUUUCAAAUGUUAAGAUAAUUUUGUGAACCAUUCACUUUUUAUAUGCUUAACAAUAUGGGUUUGUACCUAAUUAGUAGGGCAAUAAAAUAAGGGUUGUGCUAUACACACAAUUAUCUUUACUUCUCACACACCCUCUCAAUUUUCGGCCCUCAAAUAGAAUGAAUUGAAGAAGAUUAAUCACAAAAAACUAACAAAUAUGUAUGAGAGAAAAAAAAAAGGUGUGGAACAGCAUUAUCCUAAAGUAGUUGAUUAUACGAGAAAAUCGAGUCUAGCUCUAGGCCAACAGGACACUCUACCCGCCACGGGAAGGUAGCAAACACCAAAUGAUUUGAAAUAUGAUAACUGGGUGGGCGAUUGCUUCUGCCGGGAGUUUUGGACGUUUUGUUAAUUUGUUCGGCUAGAGAAUAAUGAUAUGCCUUGUCCAAUAUGGUGUGCAAAAUUCUCAUCCAUUAAUCGGAGUGGUCUCGCAAUAAAAUCCCACACCGAACAAGAGUUUACAGUCGCCCUCGACUCUUGUAUGGCAGCUUUGGUUGUUAUUCUCCAGUUAUUUUCGUCAUGGUUAUCAUUAUAAAUGACUUUGGAUUCCAAAUUUCUACGUUCAUAGUCGCGAAACUAGAAAUUUAACCUCAUGGGAUCAUGAUAAUAGAGAAGUUAAAUACGUAUCAUAAGAUAAAUUUUGAAGGUUUAGAGACUCUGCAUUUACAAAGUCUAAGACUGACUAAUAAAAAAUUAUUAUCCAAGACUAUUCCCAUUAGUUGAUCCAUAAUUAUGAUUCUAAUUGUACGUCACUUAGUACUACGGUCUGGUGAUAUUCGUUUUCACUUGUAAUUGAAAGGUUUUAGGUUGGUAUUCGUCUUCACUUGUAAUUGAGAGGUCUUAGGAUCGAUUAUUAUUUCACCCGACACCACCAACUGAUAAGUGAGAUUCUUUUUAAUUCUAUAGUUUGAUUCUUUAAGCAUUUCUUAUGUAAGUAAAAGCCAAACAAGCAAAACAAGAAAGCAAGAAGUCAUUCCAUUUUGUCAACUUUUUAUUUGCUCGGAUCAUCAUCCCAGCAAAGCAUGGCCAGAAAUACUCAAAUCAUGUGGUUGACAUGUUCGAAAUAGUUUAAGGCAUUACCAGUUUGAUCCAGGCUUAAUCCUACUAGCAGAGUAUAAUAAGCAAUAAGAACAAAGUAAACGAGGGAAACAUUUUUUGAGAAUAAAAAAAACGAGGGAAAUAAUUUAACCACCACGGGAUGUUUUAGUAGUUGGAGAGAAUCUGAGUGAGUAUUUCAUACAGCUGGUCCUAGGUUCGAUAGGCAAUAAUACAAAGUAAACCGGAAAUUUUUUUUAUUUCGGUAUACUAGUUGAUGCAAGUGCUUCCUAUCAACCAUACAACUCAAUUUAUAAGAUCCAAAUUUGAUAUUGCUUUGUACUAAAUCCGAUGUUAUCUCCUUCAGCUCAUCCCAUCCACCAAUCAUGUUUGGGGUUAAGAAACAAAACCAGCUCUUCGUAUGCGUCCGCAAGUAAGUCCAAUGAUUAAAGGAAGAGGCUUGAAUCCCAGCAAAUUAAUAAGCAAUUAGCUAGCUCUAAAGUCGAGGAAUUGAAGCAGUUUCUGCACGAGAAGUUCGCGUGGUCCGAAAGGAGGCUUGCCCCUAACGAUCCAAUCCUUCUCAAGAAUGCCCUUUUUAGCACUGCUUGCUGCCAUCUGAUCAUGGAAAGCAGACACAAUUUGGUAGAUUGAGUUCCUCAGUACAUCAGCAACAGCAUAUGCUUUUGAAUGAAGCGGGCUGGCUCUCUUUUUACUCAUGCUAGUAUUGGCCAUGCUUGAGUUUCUCAAUUUAAAACCGGUUAACCCCAUGAACUGAUUAGCAGACAGCAAAGUGGUCUUCUUCCCCAUGUAUGUUUCAACAGCAAGAAGGCAAGAAAUCAGCGUUGACAUCACAGCAGCGUUACUACCAGUGAUCUGGGCAACCCCGUAUCUGUCCUCUUUGUGUGAGCAUGCAGUUAGCGAGGCAGCUGUCCAUGCACACCAUGCAUACAACUGCAUUAAAAGAGUAUAUAUUAGGUUUUUUAGUUGAUGAGAAAAACAAUUGAAGUUAUUCCAAAUAUUCAAUAACAUUCUCUUCACAUGCAUAACUGCAAGUUGCCGCCAAUUAGCAUACCGACUAUCAUUUGUGACGUACUGGCUCCUAUAGAUAACAAACUGUACCAAUCUAAGAACAAUUGCCCCUGGUCCAAACCCGUAGAACAAUACUAAGAUGCAUUGUUAGAAUUUCAGGUGGAGAAAAUGGCAUAUUAAUGUUAUUCAAUCCUCCAAAAUUCAGCCCUUCAUCCAUCAUAUCAACAAGUAGUUCGUGAAGCUCAGCAUUUACUCAUGUAAUGUUUUGCCACAAAACAUGAGUAAGUUAUUAUUUAUUACUCUCCAUAGAUGAUGCUAGUUCACAGUUUGACUAAACGGAGUAGGAAGACAUACACACGUGUAGGUUAUAUCCACAAGUAGAAUCAAGAACCGAUAUGUUUACCUGGAAGUUAUCCAAAGGCUCAGAGUAUUUUGAGUCUAGUCGCUGGUCGGUUGGGGGCAGUAACUGACUGGAUAUUCGGGAGCCGUUUUCAACGGAACUUUCCAAGACUUCACCCAUCUUGGAUGCAAGCUGCUCCAGAGGCCGCAAGCAUACAGAUAUAACUCUUCUGUAAGUUUCACCAGUUUCCUCAAAAAAUGCAGCUCUUCUCCAAGCAUCCACAUUAUUCUCGCAAACCAUACAGAGAUCAAGAUAGGCAAGAUACUGAAGAAGAGAACUAGGACUGCUCUCCUCCAGAGCUGCAAGGAGAAUCUCACUUGGAUUUGUUUCUGCUGCCGCUGAUCCUUUAGGUGGUGCAAAUACGAAUCUCUUUGUAUGAAGCACCUGCAUUACAACACAAUUUCAAACACAUAUAGAUUCAAAUCAGAAGACAGCCAUGGUUAACUAUAAAAGGAAAGGGGCAAACAAAUAGCACCAAGUAUUCAGAUUCUUUAACAAGAGAUCAAGCUGUGUGAUUUAUAAAGAGUAUGCCAUAUAGCAUGGUAUAUGACCAAGACGUAGGUUUUCUAGUGUCAUUAAGUAGUAAAGUUCACAUCCGAAAAAAGAGAAGUUAUCUAAUUCGUAUUAAAAUCCCAUCAAAAGCUACUAAGAAGAAACACUGAUAUGCAUGUCCAUGGAGUGAUGUCUGAAUGUUCAAUACUAACACCAGACCCACAAGGUUCCUAAUGCAAUCAUAUAAGAUGGGCCAAAUUAAAGUAGCACAAAAUUGCAAGAAAUAUUCUUCAUCAAUUGAACAGGUCAAUGCUGCAUGAAGCUCUAUAUUCCAGUCACGACUUCUGUUACUUUUAAGUUAUAUUCAUUCUUAUAACUGUAGGGGGAGAGGAUCCAAUGAAGAGCAAGCAUUUGAAGGGGUUAAUAAAACAAGCAAGAAUGUUCCACAAACUUCUAUAUUCAAAUAAUCAUAAACACAAGUCAUAAAAACAAUAGCUAAUUCAAUGCUGCUUUCAAGUACCUGCAGUAGUAUUAAUGAAAAUUAACAAACAUGUUGAUAUGUUUGAAGAACCAACCCGAUGUAAAUGGUGACUUAGUUCCCAGCAUAGUAACACUAAGAAACUCCCAGUGUAGAGUCUGAUCUGCUCAGCAAUAAACUUUCCAGUUGUAGCCUGGUUCUGAUUGUGGUGUGGCAGAAACACCAGCAGAGCAGCUGAAAAAAGGUACGCCACAAAGGAAAGCUUCAAGGAUCGUGUGAUAGCCGAAGGAGCCCCAUUUUGAAGCUGAAAAAAGGAGGACGCUGUUGACAUAAACAAGUAGUGUAAGAGUCAUGACUUGUGUGAGUAGAAAGCAAAACACAACAUGAGAAAAUCAAAGCAAGGCUAAGAAUUUCUUAUGACAGAAAACUUAGUAAAUGAGUGCAAACAGCAAUCUCAAAUCUCAACCAGUAAAUUAAACAUGCUUCCACACGCAAUGUAUUGCAAGCCAGCAAAAAAGAAGUAGAGAGAAUUGGGCCAGGACUUGGUGAUCUGAUCUCCAAGACUGAAAAAUCAUAUCACAUAAACUGCAUAUUUUUGUCAUAUUUUUGUACUCAGCUAUACAUUUCUCUUAACACACCUCAUGUAACAUCACAUUACACAGAGAAAGAUUCAAACUUUGUAUAAAAGUAGCCAAAAACUGACCUGAAUAAUGGGAAACUCCAAGACCCACCUGCGAUUAUACACAUAAUACAGCCCAUAAAGCAACCCCAUCACUAAACCCCUAAACCCCACUCUCCCAAUCGCCGAAAGCCCAUCGCCAAACCCCCCACACACCGAAGCCACCGCAACAAAACCUGACACCGCCGCGGCGCCCAAAAACAUCAGCAAACCCACCGAAAGCUUAGCCCGGGCCCGGGAAUCCGGGGUCUCUGACGAAUCAGGGACGCCCGGAAUGGAAAGGAAUCGAACGAGCCCAAGAACGAGCUGGAGAAGAGAAGCAGGGCGGUGGGGGUGGGGCGAGGAGACGAGGGAGAGCGAGAACGAGAAGAGGACCUGGGAAAGGUGGAAGGUCAAAAACGUAAAAAGGGCGAAUAUCGAUGGGGCGAACGGGAAUGUGAGUGGGGGUUUGGUGGCCGAGGGAGAAGCGGAGGGGACGGCUGAUGAGAGGGUUUUGAACAGGAAGAAGAUGACGAUGGAGGGGAUGGACUGCCAUACGAGGAACCCUAAGAAGCUGUUGUGGACCACCAUCUCCGGCGGCAUAGACGGUGAAGCUGGAGGCGGCAUUGAUUUGUUGGCUGAGGGUUUUAGGUGGGUUUUUGGAGGUUCAGACAAAGGGAGUCGAUUUGAAAUCUUUCAUAGGAGGGACUUGUGGUGGCAUUUUGAGGUUUUUGGUCCUAAGGCCAUCUCCAACCGAUGGCUGGUCAGAAGGCUCGUUUUAGCCCUCUGGCCCUCCAAGAUUCUCCAAGAUAUUAAUAUUUUAAUGAACAGUACAGGGCCAUAUUUGCCUCCGUCUCCAACCGAGGGCCAGAGGGCCAGAUGGCUCGUUUUAGCCCUGUAAAAAAAAACCGUCUCCAACCGAGGGCCAUAGGGCCAAACAUAAUUUAUUAUUUAAAAACUACACUUAAUUUUAUUUAAAAAUCAUGUUGGUUAGUGUUGUAUAAUUUUUAUGUCGGUUAAUGUUAUUUAAUGUUGUUUCAUAUUGUUUAAUGUUGUUUCAUGUUACUUAAUUUAAUUUAACGUUGUAUAAUGGCUUAGGAAGUUAUAGGAAAAAAAUAGAAUUUAAAAAAAAUAUGAAACAAAUUUUGUGAAAUAGAAGUUAUAGGAAAAAAUGGAAUUUAAAAAAAAAAUAUGAAACAAAUUUUGUAAAAUAGAAGUUAUAUGAAAAAAAUAUGAACCAAAUUUUGUAAAAUAUAAGUUAUAGGAAAAAAAUAGAAUUAAAAAAAAUUGAAACAAAUUUUGUAAAAUAGAAGUUAUAGGAAGUUAUAGAAAAAAAAAGAAAAAAAAAGGUUUAAAUUCAUAAAAAAAAAAAAGGAUUUACAACGGCUAGUGGCGCUAGCCGUUGGAAGUUUGAAUUCAAAAUGUUAUUUCUGUCGGUUGUAACCGACAGAAAUAAGAAACAUUAAAAAAAAAAAAUAGCCAGCCCGGGGCUGGCUGGCUGGCCGAAAGCAGCCAGCCCUCCAGCCCUCUCCGAUCCCGUGGGGCCCUCCCAGAUUCUCGAGCCCUCUGGCCUAGCCCUCAGUUGGAGACGGUUUUAGGGCUAUUUUCGGCCCUCUGGCCCUCUGGACCCUUCGGUUGGAGAUGGCCUAAGACCACCUCCUCUAAAGAUGUGAAAAAUAGCAUAUAGGCUUAUAAUGGUAACAAAUAACAUCCUAUUUACUCCGUUAAAUAUUACAUGAAAAAGAAGGAUGUCAAAAAUCCCAAAUAAACUUAUAACGAUAACAAAUGACGAAUCACUUACUCUAAAAAAAAUGACAUAGAAAAGAAACCUAAGCUUACAUUGAUAAAGAGAUGUCAAUAGCAUUUCAUAGCCUUACCUUAUAUGCUAGCCUUCAAAUUUAAUUUUUGUUAUUUCCAUAGCAUUUCAUUUGCCUUACCUUAUAUGCUAACAUAUUUAAGCAUUAUUUUAUUAUUUUUAAACCAACAACAACCCAAUUCUAUUAUUUUUGUUUUAAAAAAAACAUAAAUGAAGCAAUAAAUUUUGACAUAGCGGGUAAAAGGAACAUAUUGACAAUAUGUUAAAUUGUCAAAUCAGCCAUCAAACUUAAAUUUGAUGUUUUGAAUUUAACGUCUCCUUUGGAGAUGUUCUAAGGCUCUAACUGAAAACUAUAAACUGAGAAAGUACACGAAUUUUGUGAGUCUUUCUUGUUUUUACUUUUAUUUUGAAAUUAUAUUUUUUUCCUUGGGUUUAUUUAUUUUUUAGGGUUUUGCCAACUGAGUUUAUAUUUGAUUUACUGACAGAAAUAAAUUUUGUCUAUACGUCCUGGUGCAGUUCCGAUUUCUACCAAUUUUUCUUCCUUCUAACAACUAACUUUAACUGUCACAGCCCGUCCCGGAAUUUUAAUUCCGAGGACAUAAAAAGACGAAAAUGCCCUUAAACGGGACUAAGGGGCGAAAAUUUAACAAUUUGGAUUGAGUUGGACACGUGAGAUCCCCACACCCCUCAAUCCUCUCCCUAUUUUCUGCAUACUGUCUCUCUCUCUCCUCCCUCACGAAUCUCUCUCUCUCUGUCACUCUUCUUCUCCGUUCGAACAAACCAACCACAAAACAACCUUAAACUUCCACCAACGACGGAGUUAAGACCACCAUCGAACUCCUGGAGACUCCACGAUCACGUAGACACCAAUUUCAGGUAAGUUUUACUUCGGAAAACCUAGAUUCUAAACUCCCGUGAAAGUGCACUGUUCAUGAUCUUCGAAUUGACUUUGUUUUAGGACAAUCCAAGCUCAUAGUGAGCUUUAGGAUGUCCCAAGGAAGCUCGGAGUGCUUCGUUGGAAGUUUUUGGACGUAAGAACACGGAGAUCGACAAGUUCAAAGUUUGGCCGGAGCUUUCGAGGCGUUUUCCGGCGAAUCCCCGGCGAGUUAGGAGUCGAGGUAGGUAUCAAUCUCUUCGUCUCGUCAAGUACUAUAACUUUCAUUUUUGUUUCACUCAAUUUCGUUGAGUAUUGAAGAAGUUAUACUCAUUUGAAAAAUACCCAGUUUCCGGCGACCUCCGAGGCUUUCGAGGCAGUUUCCGGCCAAACCACGGCUAACUAGGUGUUGUGCAAGGUACCAUUCUCUUUGUCUCUUCAAGGGCUACAACUUUCGUUUUUGAAUCACUUGAUUUCGUUGAGAAAUGACAAAGUUAUGGCAAUUUGAAAAACUGCUCAGAAAACGGCCGCCGGAAAAACCAGUCCGGCGACCCAAGGAAGAAGAAGGUGCUACAGUAAAAAUAAAAAAUAAAAAUAAAAUUAUUUUAAAAAUAUGUCGACGUCCGUGACGUCGAGUAGAUCACUGUGGUAUAUUCAUAUACCUAAAUUGAACACCGUAUGAGAAAGUUAUUGAAGAUUGUUGGUUAGGUGUUCAAAUAACGUUUUAUAGUUUUCACAUUUAGGUGAAAAUGUGAAUUGAUGAUCCGACCGUUGGAUCGUCACCAAACUUUGAUACGUUGUAAUACGUAAUAUUUGAGGAUUAUUGGAACUUACGGAUUGGGAAUCCGAAUUACGGAUCUUCCGGAAUUGGAAUUGUAAGUCCAUAAUAUAAAAUGUUAACCGUCACUUAGUUUUGGAAAUUGACGGAGAUCCGACCGUUGGAUGGUAAUGAAAUUUUAGGAUGUUGUCCUAGAGGUAUAAUGUGGACCUCUGGAAGUUAUGGAUUAAAAUCUGAGUGGUGGAUCUUCCGGAUCAAUCUACGUAGUGACGUAUUUUAUAUAAGUUAUAUAUUCUAUCGAUAUGAAUUCUGAGGUUGGAAUUGAUUAUUGUUUUAGGCGCCGAUCGUCAUGACGCCUUGGCGUAUUGUGCUAGGGAGUUGUAGGGCGAACUCCAGGUGAGUGGGCAGUUUUGUUUUCCGUAUAUAUAUAUAUAUACUUGACGUUUCCCAGAAAUUGAAAAUGCAUGAAAUUAUGCUUUAAAUGAAAAUGCAUAGAAUUGAUAUGAAAAGUAUAUAGAAAUGUGAGUUGAAAUGCCAUGCAUGAAUUAAUAUAUGAUGCAUAUGUAUGAAUUGGUGCGGUGGACGCACAGGUAAGAAUUGAUUUAUGAUGCAUAUGUAUGAAAUGGUGCGGUGGACGCACAGGUGAGUAUUUAAUUACUGUUAUGAUGAUGAUGAUAUAUAUUGAGCUCAAAUCCUGCACCAUGGUUUAGUGCUUAUAGUAUUCACCGCAUCGCACGCUCGCCUUGGAUCCAAGUAGAUGCUAGUCGUACAGUCCACGCGGAGUGGGUACGACAGACCAGUCGCGAGAGUGUUAGUGAGAUUCCGACUGGUGGGUGACCUUAGAUUAUGUGCACAGAUGAUUUAUGAGAAGCACUAGAGCGUAACUUGUGUGCAGAAGGCCGGACGGGUCACAGAGGUGACUCCGGUAGAGUGAUAAUGAUAGAUUUUGAGCUCUAGGUUCAACCGUACAGGGCUAUUAGAGGGCCUCCGGUUGAUUACUUUCUUGCACCUGAUAUGAUUAUUGUUGAUGCAUCCAUACUUAACUGUUGAAUUAGACAUGGCAUGGCAUGAUUGAUAAAGAAAAAAUGUUGAGUUAAUGAAUUAAAGUAUUGAGAAUAUAUAUGUAUAUUUAUAUUUUACAUUUCUGGGAAAAUAUACAGGUUUUACAGAGAGGGGUUACAACGUUUUGAAAAAUGUUUGGAUUUGGAAAAGAAUUGUUUUACUGACCCACUCAAUUUUGGUUUUGCGCCCCUCCAGGUUCAGGAAUCACAAAGGUGUGGUGACUACGAGGAAUACAGCGGGGUUCUGACAGAUUGGACAAAAUUAGGACUCACCUUCGGGUGUAUCAACUUAUAAAUUGUAUCUUAAAGCUUCCGUACUGUGCAAAUGGUUACGUCACUCUCACGUGACGGCCAGCAUGCCCUCCUUCGGGACGGGGUGUGUCAGUUGGUAUCAGAGCAUGGUUGCAAUCUUGGACAUUUUGAGAAGUUCUAGUGAAUUCUGUCAGAACUACACCGCCUCGUAGCAAGCCACUUAGUUAGAGGAAUUUAGUCUCCCUAAUAUAACGGUUUAGGGGAAACUAUUAUUAUGGUGAUUCAGUCUAUUAUAAAAAGGGACAUUUUAAGAUGGGUUAUGAGUUGAAUUUGAAUCACUUAAGAGAAAUGAUGAACCUGAGGGAGCGAAGUAACGGUUUAACCAUUUGGAAAAGAUGUUUCGGAUUAUGCAAGUCAAAGGAAUCUUCCUUCUGACAGGGGGUCGAGACGACUACCUGGUUUUGGGUAUGAAUUUGUAUCCUGGUGGAAACAGGAGUAUGAUUUGUUGUCAUCGGAGGAACAACCGAUUUAAAAUUGUUUAAGGAAAAGUUUAUCCCUCUGGCAUUUAUUGAUGGUAGUAAACAAGAGUUUACAAAUAUGAGACAAGGAAGGUGAUGAUCGAGGGAUAUUAUAGAAAGUUUUCAGACUUGCCUCGUUCCAUCCAGAUAUUGUUGUGAAUUUGGUGGAGGUGUUAUGUUGUUUUAGGCUGGGUGACAAAAGGAAGUGGUAUUUUUGGGUGACCCCUAUCCAUGGUAUUUCUUACCAGGAGUAUAUGAGAUGUUGUUGAGCCUUGAAGACUCUGAGAAUAUGAUCAGCGAGAGUAAAGAUGAAUAAGAAAAGAAUGGGAAUUAGAUGAAAGAACGAUAAAGUUAAUGAUUCGUCAUAUCAAGAAUAUCGAAAGACUCAGAGCUUCAAAAGAAGUGAAGCUAGAGUUAAUUUUUCCAGUUGAGGUUUUAAUGUCGCUGGUCAGAGUAAAAGUGAUGGAUAUACUGGUAAUCCCAGAUAUUUGAGACAAGGUGUCUCGAGUAAAGGAAAUGUACUUUGUGCAGCAGGUACAAAAAUUAACACUUUGGGAAGUGUGAAAUUAAUGAAUGUGUUUAUGUGAACAGAGGGGACACAGAAUUGUGAAUCGUCCCUAUAAUCAGUUGUACUCAAUAAUUUUCCAUGAUAUCAUAGUGUCGAUUCAGCAGAGUUAUGGAUUUAGUAGUUUGGUCGGAUUGACCGUGAGUACAGAGAGAUUUGAUGAGUUAUAUGUUCAGCCGUACAGACCAUAAGAAGUGGAUUCGAUUGACACAUGAGAAAUUAGUGAGUUAUAGGCUCGGCCGUACCGACCACGCGAAGUGGAUCCGGCCGACGUAUUAUUAAGAUAAGAGUUGAAUCAACCGUAUUGGUCAUUCUAGUUGACUUCGGCUGAUAUAUUUCUUAUUAUGUAUGUUAUUACCUAGAGAGUAGUAAAUAAAUGUAGUUGAGACGAGUGUAUGUAUUGCAUUGAGUAACAAAAUAGUAAUGUUAUAUCUUUGAGAGUGGUUGCCUACUUAUCGAGACAACGAUGAUUUAUCAGUAUUGCGGGCUGCAGACCGUAAUAUUAAUAACUCAUUCGUGGAUUCGUUAAGCAAGCAAACCGGUAGAUUAUUUUAUGUUAGUAUUGUACUUAUUUAGAAUGCUUAAUAAUAAUAGAAUAUAUAUUGUGUCGGUUAAAUUAUUUCCAUUAGAUUGGUUGGUUAUAAUUGUGACAAGACGGAAUGUUAAGGGAAACCAGUACUUUCCAUCGAUCUGGAUGACCAGAGAUUACUUUUGUAAGUAUGCAAAGUGGAUUGAGUCAGGCCGUUAUUUAUGCUGUGAGAGCAAAGAGAUUGUUUUCGAAAGGCUGUCAAAAAUAUUAGCUCGUGUGGUGCUAAAUGAUGUUGUUUGGAGUAGUGUGAAUAAUGUCAAAAAGGGGUUAGACUUUUCUUGAUGUCUUCCCUGAAAGUAUACCUGGAUUGCCUUCAGGCAGAGAUAUGAGGUUCACUAUUGAUUUGUUGCCAGGUAUAAAUCUAUGUUAAAGAUUGGUUCAGGAUGAGUUAAGGGAAUUGGAAAUUCAGUUGAAAGAAUUGGUUGAUAAAAGUUUCAUUCAACCUAGUACAACAUUUUUGAGGAGCCCCAGUUUGUUGGUGAGGAAGAAAAUGGACUUAGAGAUUGUUCAUUGAUUAUAGACAAUGGAGUCGGGUAACGAUUAAGAACCGUUAUCCAUGGUAAUGUACUGAUGUUUAUUUAACCAGCUCAGAAGUAAUUGCGAAGAUUCAAAGAUUGAAUUGAGAUCUGGUUACUACCAAUUGAAUAUUAUAAGUGACGUUGAUCAUAAGAUGGUUUUCUGGACUCGUUAUAGUCUUUAUGAAGUUUGGUGAUGCUAUAUGGAUACUCAUGCUGUUUUAUGAGUUAUUGGAUGAAGUAUUCCAAUAAUGCCUUGAUAAAUAGAUAUCAUUUUCAUUGAAGAUAUUCUGGCAUAUUCUGAGCCAGAGCAGAGCAUGUAAACGUAUUAAGUCGGUGGAACAAAGAUUGGAAAGAAUGUCGGUUGUAUGCUAAGUAGCAAAUGCUAAAGUUAGAUGAAUCAGGUGGCAUUCUGAGAUUUGUUAUAUAUUCUUAAGGUAUUCAAGUGAAUCCUUAAAAGAUAGCAGAAAUUGAGAAUUUGGAACAACCACGAGUCGUAAUUGAGAUUUGGAAUUUCUUAGCUUACCAGGCUAUCUUGGAUGGUUGUGAAAGAUUUUUCAGUCAUUGCUUUGUCAUUGACGAGACUGUUGAGAAAAGAGGUCAUGUAUGAGUGGGAAGGAAAUUGUGAGCAAAGGAUUCAACAACUGAAGUAUUUUCCUCACUCAUGCACGUAUUUUGGUAUUCCCAGAGAAUAGUGGUAAUCAUAUAAAUUUUUAGUGAUGUUUCUUGAAUGGUAUUGGAUGCAUGUUGAUGCAAAAUGUUAGGGUGAUUGCAUACGUUUCACGAUAAAUGGAAUCUCAUAAGAUGAAUUACCCUACGGGUGACUUAGAAAUCAUGAUUACCAUUCUUGCUGUGAAGUUAUGAAGGGCAUUAUAUUUGGUAAGAAUGCAAGAUUUUUACGAAUCCAAAAAGUCUUUCAAUAUCCAUUACUUGGAAGGAUUUUGAUAUGAGGCAGCGAAAGUGAAUUGUAUUGCUUAAUGAAUAAUGAUUGUACGAUCAGGGUGAUCGUAAAGUUUGUUCUAAACUGAAGCACUUGGUGAGAAAUACUACAGUAAGAUUAAUGUCUGGCACGUUUUGCCAAGAGUAUCAUCUUGUGGAUUGAAAACCAACGGAAGAAAAAUUAAGAAUGGAAGAUCGAGAAGAAGUUAUACUUGUUAAAUUUCAAGUUAGGCCUGUUUGGUAAGGUCGUACUUGAAACUUAAAUGCUUGACGAAGAAAUUUAAGAAUUAACCAAGGUAGAGAAAGAAGGUAAGUUAAAUCCUAAGUUAAUCGGACUUAAGUGAUUAUCGAAAAGUUGGUGAAGUUGCUUACAAGCUUGUGAUGCCCUCAGAAUUGGUUAAGGUGCAAAACAUAUUUUAUGAUUCGAUGCGUUGUCACUAGGUGGCAGAUUCGUCACAUGAGAUUCUGGUGUAACUAUUGAGAAUUAAAUUGGAUUCGACUUGAUAAGGAAUCAAGGACGACUUUGGAUUGGAAAAAGAAGGUCCUGAGAAUUAAGACAGAGUAAGUAGUAAAAGCUUUGUGAAGGAAAUCAUUCAGUAGAAAAGUAUGUGGGAGAAAGAGAAUCGGAUGAGAAAGAUUUACCCGAAGCUAUUGUUGGAGUAUGGUUGAUUUAGUUGGUUGCUGGAAUUUCGGGGACGAAAUUCUAUAAGGAGGGAAGAUUGUCACAGCCCGUCCCGGAAUUUUAAUUCCGAGGACAUAAAAAGACGAAAAUGCCCUUAAACGGGACUAAGGGGCGAAAAUUUAACAAUUUGGAUUGAGUUGGACACGUGAGAUCCCCACACCCCUCAAUCCUCUCCCUAUUUUCUGCAUACUGUCUCUCUCUCUCCUCCCUCACGAAUCUCUCUCUCUCUCUGUCACUCUUCUUCUCCGUUCGAACAAACCAACCACAAAACAACCUUAAACUUCCACCAACGACGGAGUUAAGACCACCAUCGAACUCCUGGAGACUCCACGAUCACGUAGACACCAAUUUCAGGUAAGUUUUACUUCGGAAAACCUAGAUUCUAAACUCCCCGUGAAAGUGCACUGUUCAUGAUCUUCGAAUUGACUUUGUUUUAGGACAAUCCAAGCUCAUAGUGAGCUUUAGGAUGUCCCAAGGAAGCUCGGAGUGCUUCGUUGGAAGUUUUUGGACGUAAGAACACGGAGAUCGACAAGUUCAAAGUUUGGCCGGAGCUUUCGAGGCGUUUUCCGGCGAAUCCCCGGCGAGUUAGGAGUCGAGGUAGGUAUCAAUCUCUUCGUCUCGUCAAGUACUAUAACUUUCAUUUUUGUUUCACUCAAUUUCGUUGAGUAUUGAAGAAGUUAUACUCAUUUGAAAAAUACCCAGUUUCCGGCGACCUCCGAGGCUUUCGAGGCAGUUUCCGGCCAAACCACGGCUAACUAGGUGUUGUGCAAGGUACCAUUCUCUUUGUCUCUUCAAGGGCUACAACUUUCGUUUUUGAAUCACUUGAUUUCGUUGAGAAAUGACAAAGUUAUGGCAAUUUGAAAAAACUGCUCAGAAAACGGCCGCCGGAAAAACCAGUCCGGCGACCCAAGGAAGAAGAAGGUGCUACAGUAAAAAAAAAAUAAAAAUAAAAUUAUUUUAAAAAUAUGUCGACGUCCGUGACGUCGAGUAGAUCACUGUGGUAUAUUCAUAUACCUAAAUUGAACACCGUAUGAGAAAGUUAUUGAAGAUUGUUGGUUAGGUGUUCAAAUAACGUUUUAUAGUUUUCACAUUUAGGUGAAAAUGUGAAUUGAUGAUCCGACCGUUGGAUCGUCACCAAACUUUGAUACGUUGUAAUACGUAAUAUUUUGAGGAUUAUUGGAACUUACGGAUUGGGAAUCCGAAUUACGGAUCUUCCGGAAUUGGAAUUGUAAGUCCAUAAUAUAAAAUGUUAACCGUCACUUAGUUUUGGAAAUUGACGGAGAUCCGACCGUUGGAUGGUAAUGAAAUUUUAGGAUGUUGUCCUAGAGGUAUAAUGUGGACCUCUGGAAGUUAUGGAUUAAAAUCUGAGUGGUGGAUCUUCCGGAUCAAUCUACGUAGUGACGUAUUUUAUAUAAGUUAUAUAUUCUAUCGAUAUGAAUUCUGAGGUUGGAAUUGAUUAUUGUUUUAGGCGCCGAUCGUCAUGACGCCUUGGCGUAUUGUGCUAGGGAGUUGUAGGGCGAACUCCAGGUGAGUGGGCAGUUUUGUUUUCCGUAUAUAUAUAUAUAUACUUGACGUUUCCCAGAAAUUGAAAAUGCAUGAAAUUAUGCUUUAAAUGAAAAUGCAUAGAAUUGAUAUGAAAAGUAUAUAGAAAUGUGAGUUGAAAUGCCAUGCAUGAAUUAAUAUAUGAUGCAUAUGUAUGAAUUGGUGCGGUGGACGCACAGGUAAGAAUUGAUUUAUGAUGCAUAUGUAUGAAAUGGUGCGGUGGACGCACAGGUGAGUAUUUAAUUACUGUUAUGAUGAUGAUUGAUAUAUAUUGAGCUCAAAAUCCUGCACCAUGGUUUAGUGCUUAUAGUAUUCACCGCAUCGCACGCUCGCCUUGGAUCCAAGUAGAUGCUAGUCGUACAGUCCACGCGGAGUGGGUACGACAGACCAGUCGCGAGAGUGUUAGUGAGAUUCCGACUGGUGGGGUGACCUUAGAUUAUGUGCACAGAUGAUUUAUGAGAAGCACUAGAGCGUAACUUGUGUGCAGAAGGCCGGACGGGUCACAGAGGUGACUCCGGUAGAGUGAUAAUGAUAGAUUUUGAGCUCUAGGUUCAACCGUACAGGGCUAUUAGAGGGCCUCCGGUUGAUUACUUUCUUGCACCUGAUAUGAUUAUUGUUGAUGCAUCCAUACUUAACUGUUGAAUUAGACAUGGCAUGGCAUGAUUGAUAAAGAAAAAAUGUUGAGUUAAUGAAUUAAAGUAUUGAGAAUAUAUAUGUAUAUUUAUAUUUUACAUUUCUGGGAAAAUAUACAGGUUUUACAGAGAGGGGUUACAACGUUUUGAAAAAUGUUUGGAUUUGGAAAAGAAUUGUUUUACUGACCCACUCAAUUUUGGUUUUGCGCCCCUCCAGGUUCAGGAAUCACAAAGGUGUGGUGACUACGAGGAAUACAGCGGGGUUCUGACAGAUUGGACAAAAUUAGGACUCACCUUCGGGUGUAUCAACUUAUAAAUUGUAUCUUAAAGCUUCCGUACUGUGCAAAUGGUUACGUCACUCUCACGUGACGGCCAGCAUGCCCUCCUUCGGGACGGGGUGUGUCAUUAACUCAGUAAUGAUAUCGUUUUACUAAAAAAACAAGCUAACUGAUAAAAUAUGGAAUUGUUUUACAAUAUCCCUUCAAACGAAGCCACAGUCAAAAGAAUUAAGGUUUUAUAUCAAAACAACCCCCAUGGGGUUGGUAUGGUAAAAACCAAGCACAAAGAAUUGGGCUGAUUUGAUAUUGUUGUAAUGUGAGAAUAAGCAGCUGUGAAAUAAAGCAGCAGAGUGUUUGGUAAACUUUUUUGUAAAAGUUUUUUUGAAUAAAAAAGAAGUAUUAUAGUAUUUGAUAAACUUUUAUGUAAAACAAAUGUGAAAAAAAAAAACUGGUUUUUCAAAGCUGGGUUUUGCAGCUUUGUGUUUUUUGCUUUUUUUCACCUAAAACUGUGAAAAAAAAGCUGAAGCUGAAUGUUUACCAAACAUAAAAAAAAGCUUUUGAUAGCCACUUUUUUCAAAAUCACCUCUGUAUCAAAAACCAGGGAGGCUCUGUAAAGUUGCUCCAUGUUAGGAAUCUCCUUGAGUUCGUCGGCAGCAACUUCAAGCGCAGUGUGUUGGAAAAAAUGGUAGAAUUUCUCGCUGCAGAUGAAACUAAAAAGCAAUUACACGAUAGAAAGUGGAAGUAAGAAUGGUGCAUAGUAGAAUUUCUUCACCCCAAAUAAACCAAACAUGGUAACUUGGUACAGUAUCAGAGAUGCAAUGAGUCCAACUUGGAUGUGCGGCCACAUCCUUCCAUAGCUUUCGUACGAUGGAAUGUAAACUUUUGAGUGCCUGCUCGAUGAAACAACAAAAGCUUUAGUUUUCGAAAGCAUAUGCUUGCUUAGGAAAAAAGUAGGCUAAGUUGUAUAUCCCUUCGGUAGAGUUUUUUGACUAAAAACUUGCAAGGUCGGAAAAAGCUGAGGAUACCUGAUUUCGAAGGACAAGCCAUCCAAGGCCAAAGUAAAGCACACCAAAUGGAAGAAUCAGCGGAGCAAUAACAGAGUAGCAGAGGACAAUUGUAAUCAUGAGCAUAUCACCGGGUACUCUGGUCCCAUAUCCAAGACCACGAGGAAGCCAAGCUGCUUUCACCUCAUCUUCGGACUUACAGAAAUACUUCCACUUCGUAUGGAAAAUUAUCAGAGGAACUAGUCGGGACAGUUCAAGAUCAUAUCCAACGAAAAACAUGUCAUCAACGCAAUUGCGAAAACCAGUUCACUGCAAUAAAAGCAGAAGUGAUAUGAUUAUACAAGAAUCGAAGUCAAUUUGCUUUAUAAAAAGAAAAUAAUAAUAAAUAAUAAAUAAAUAUGAAACAUGAUUAGCAGGUUGUGUGCCCUUUUGAUUGGAUGGUACUUUGGUUUUUGAGGGACAAGGAAUUGGAGUGUUUUGGUUGAAGGACAAAAGUAGAAAUAUUAAAGGGAGUUUUAACGAAAAGCUCACGGUACUGUUCUCUUUAACGAAAAACCACAUUUUUAUACUAAAAAGUCAAACCUGGUACUAUUCACUUUACCUUUUAUUUUGUCCUUAUCAUUAAAAUUCAAAGUUUUCAAGUCAUUUUCAUUAGUUUUCCUAAUAUUAAAAGCUUCAUGUGUAAAACGUUCUCGUGUCGUUGAUAAUGUUUAUAUGACAUAAUUUGCUGACUGCAAUGACAUCGACACAUAUUAACUUAAAGGGGUGUGAUAUUCACACAUCCUAUUUUACUUCUCACACACAUUUUUAAUUUUCGACUGUCGGAUCGGAUGAAUUGAAGAAGAUCAACAGACAUAAAUUAUCAAGAGAUGUGUGAGAAGUAAAAUGAGGUGUGUUGUAGCAUCCCACAUCGCCCAGGGGAGUGAUCCUUAAAUGUAUAUUCUCAUCCCUACCUAGCACGAGGCAUUUUGGGAGCUCACUGGCUUCGGAUUCCAUCGGAACUCCGAAGUUAAGCGAGUAGUGCACGAGAGCACUCCCAUGAUGGGUGACUCACUGGGAAGUUCUCGCAUGAGAUUGGGAAACUCUGUAUUUCCAAAGAUGGAAAUGUUGCUUGCAGGAAAUUUUUUUUUUUUCUUUUUUGAACAAAUGCUUGGAGGAAAUAUAAAUGUGGUAAAAAUGAGUAAUCUGCAAACGUGUGACUGCAGCUUGUGAGUAAUGUGAUCCCUUUAAAUAGAAAGAAAAAAAAAAUGUUAUAGUUAUGUAUUGAUAUGGAUGUUUUGUAAAGUAUAAAUCGUCCAUUGAAGGAAGCAAACAAGCAAGACUUGGCGGUUUUAAAAUUGUAUAAAAUAAAUCGAUUGAAAAAGGUUAUGCCCCAAUCGGCUUUUGUGACGGGGAGAUAAAUUCAGGAUAACAUAUUAGUGGUGCAUGAGAUAUUACAUUCUCUCAAGCAACAGAGUAAUAGUGAGGAGUCUUUCAUGGUGAUGAAAUUUGGAUAUGGCUAAGGCGUAUGGCCGGGUUGAAUGGCCAUUUCUCUUUGCCAUGAUGCAAACAUUGGGGCUUUCUGAGUUUUUGUGUCGAAGAAUUGAAGAAUGUAUAUCUAUGGUGUUUUAUAGUAUUUUGAUUAAUGGGUCGUCCACAGGAUUCAUACAACCACAAUGGGGAUUGUGGCAAGGGGAUCCUAUGUCCCCGGCUUUGUUGCGACGAAGAGAUGAGAUGGGUGGUCUCCACGGCAUUAGGGUGUCUAAGGGAGGGUUGCCUAUUUCACAUUUGUUUUCUGCCGAGGAUGCAGUUAUAUUUUGUAAAACUUCGGAAGGUGAAGCGUUGGAGGGAGGUUAUGAAUGUGUUACAAAUUUAUGUGGACGGUUCUGGGCAAGUUAUAAACAGGGAGAAGAGUUCGUUUUUUUUUCGGUGCUCAUUGUGCGAAGAAAAGAAGGAAAAAGACUGUGGGGUGUACAAAUAUCAGGGGAAGGGAUGACUUUGGGAAGUACCUAGGGUUAUCUGCGAACUUUGGUCAUUCCAAAACUGCGGUAUUCAAGGAAGUGAGAGAGGUGCUAAACGGUCGGAUUAAUGGAUGGGCCGAACAAUACCUUCUUUGGCGGGGAAAGAGAUUUUAAUCAAGGCGGUUGCUAUGGCCUUGCCAAACUAUGCGAUGUCUUAUUUUAAACUACCGGUCAAAUUGUGUAAAGAUAUGGAGAGGCUGAUUGCAAAUUACUGGUGGCGUGGAAACAAACGGACUAAGGGCAUGCAUUGGAUUUCUUGGGGUAAUGAUGAACCCCACCUCAUUGCUGGCUCGUGUUCUCAAGGAAAAAUACUACCCGGAUAGACCAUUUAUGGAGGCAAAACAAGGGAGGCGAUCUUCGUGGGGUUGGAAAGGUACACUUCAGGGACGUCAUAUUUUGGAGCGGGGGCUAAGAUGGAGGGUUGGAGAUGGGCAGAGUAUCAGGAUUGUACAUGAUCCUUGGAUUACGUUCCGUAUACGGUCUAGGCAUGCGGAGAUGCCGGUGAUGGUAGGGGAGUUAAUUGAGCAUUCUACGGGAUCGUGGAAAAAGGAGUUGGUACUCAACUAUUUUGAAGAGGAGGAAGCAAAACUUAUACUGGGGUUGCCAAUUAGUUUCGAUGGUUGUCAUGAUAGACUAAUUUGGCAUUAUUUUAGGAAUAGAGAGUACACGGUCAGAAGUGGCCCUGGAAUGGCUAUGGAUCUUCAAGCGAAUGGGGAAUUGGGUAGGAAGGGUAUGGGAAUGUUUGGCAAGAUGUAUGGAGGCUAAGAGUACCAAAUAAACUGAAGUUUUUUCUAUAGAGGUGUUGCAACAAUACUUUGGCGAUGCGAAGGAAUCUAGCCCGAAUGAGGAUGUGAGUGGAGACGACAUGCGUUUUGUGUUUAUGUAUGUUCAGCGGAGUGGCAACCUCGAUACCCAUGCAGUGGCUUCCUAUGCUACCUCACGUGGUGGUUCGUUCCUGUGGAAUGCUUAUGGUCCUGAAUUUCAUUUUAAUAUUAUUGCAGAAGACCCAUGUAUGAUAUUACUAUAUACUAAAAUCUAGUUUUAAAAAAAUUAAAAAAAAUAAAAAAAAUAAAAAAUAAUAAUAAAAUAACUCUUUCACCAAUAGUGAUUUGACUGUUUUGCCCCUGUCUCACUGUUUCUUUUCUUUUUUAUUUUUCAAUAUGUACAAUAAAAUGACUAAAAUGCCCUUUAGUCAUCUGCUUCUUUCCGUUCCCUUCGCUUUUCCUUUCUUUCUUUCUCCUUUCUUUUUAUCCCGACUCUCUCUCCUCGCAACUCACUCCGGUUUGUCCGACUAAUUUUCUUCGAAUCUGGGCACAGCGUGGCUCGGAUCACCCCUAAAUGAUUUCUAUUGAACUCAGGUGAAUCGUAGAACAAUUGCAUGUCAAUUUUCAUUUGGGUUUUAUUGCUUUCACCCCUUCUUAUUUAGUCAUUUGGAGGGUUUUGUAUGUUUCUUGGGUGUUAAUUAUAUUGGUUUUAUUGAUUUUUUUUUUUGUAUGAAUUUUGUUUGAUAGGAGGCCGGUUCAGUGUGUAAAAGAUUGUAUUGGUCCUCUGUAUUUGAGGGAAUAUUGUCAUAUAAUCACUAUAAUUUUUGCAUGGGUUCAAGUUAAUUACUUCGAGGGUGAACUAAUGUGUCAUAUAUGUUUCAAAGAUAUGAAAUAGAUGUAGGAUUCAUAAAGGUAAUUAAGGUAAUAUUUCUGCAAGAUUGAGCAAAAGAGAGGAUCAAUUGAAAGAUGCACAACCAUGAAGCUAAACAUUAUGGUAAAUAUCUGGAUAUGAAUACUGCUUCCAAUCCCCGUAGAGAGGCCGGGAAGAAUUGAUUGAGAAUAACAAGACGAUUGACCCAUUUUUUUCAUCUUAAAUAAAAACAUCAUGCCCUAAACGCGAAGGUGAGUAAUAAGCAACCGAAAAGAAGAAAAAAAUAAGAAAACCGAAAAGAAUGCUUUUCAAAGUGUAUUGAUUAUCAGUGGUCACGUAAAUUCCAGUAUCCCCUUUUCUUUCACAAUCUAAAAUGGAAACAGAGGAUUUGCUAGUUCAUUGUGACGCUUAGCUCACUCCCCCACUUCCUUAGUAUAGAUAAUAUCGUUUGUUUAAGAAAAAGAAAAAAUUGGAAACAGAUGAUUUAUAGAGAUUGCUCACACCCCCAAAAGACUGUGAUACUAAAAUUAAUUUAAAGUUGCAUUCAACUAAUUGAAACAUUAUACAAUACUAAAUGGCUUAUUAUAUUAGCAUCCCACAAAUUGUUGAAUAAACCUCACAUACUUAAUACCCUCACAUUUGCUUUUUCAAUGAAAAAUUAACUUAAUACAUCCCACAUACUUCCUUAUAAUACUCUCACAUUCUCAAUAUACACCUUACAUUUUCUACAUGCACCCCAUAUUUUCUAUACAUCCCACAUUUCUCAAAUCUUAUAAAGCUUUUAAUUUGGACAAAAAAUGUCGACUGGAAUUUUGACAAAAGAUGCCGCUUUAAAGCAUAUGUGGGUUGUUUUCAAUUCCACCAUUAAAACUCAUGUUGUCUGUUUUUAAUAUUUUGUGGUAAUUUUAAGUGUUUAAUUCUUCAUAUAAUCCAUGUGAUCCCUAAAAGAUGAAUACGAACAUAGAAGCUUGAACAACGCAGCAAAAGCAAGAUUAAAUAAUUAUUGAUGUCAUCAAAAUCACUCAAACAAUAAAAAAAUAUGAAGUCUUACUUCAUAUGAAGCUUCCGAAACAUCAAUUUCGUGUUUCAUUCGUCAAAAAUAAUUUUUCUCAAUCAACAUGUUUGUAGUUUCAUUGGUUAAGGUUUUGUUCAACAAUAAAGGGUCAGAGAUAUUUUGAUAGUUGAAGAAGAUAAAUAAUACGUUAAAAGUGAUUUGGGAUGUAUUUAGAUUUUAUUUUUAUUUUUAUAAACCUAAUAAGGUCAAAAUUGUCAUUGCAUAGUAGGAUAAAUAAAUUAUUUAAUAUUAAAUUUCAAUGUAGAUUGCAUUCAACAUUUUGGGGGAUGCUAGUAUAAAAAGCCUACUAAAGUUCACAUAGUAAUUGCAAUACAUUUUAAAAGUCAUUAAGAUUAUGGAAACGUAAUUGCUGGAGUUGUUAAGAAAUUUGUAUAGCUUGGGCGGGCUCUCUCGUUGGAUUGCCCAUCAACCGCACUUUCCUCCUCCUUAGACCUGUCAUCCAACUUAUAUAGGUUGUGCAACGUAUGUCAUUUUUAAUACUAUUUUUCUUUUAUGUAUCAUCUGAUAUGAUUAGAGACGUUAGUCGGAAGUGCAAUUUGAAACAUUUCAGUGCCAGAUAUGUUCAUCCUGUAAGGCUAUAUAUGCUUUAAAACAUAGGAAAACUAAUGAAAAUGGCUUGAAAACUUUGAGUUUUAAUGAUAAGGACAAAAUAAAGGGUAAAGUGAAUAGUACCAGGAUUGACUUUUUAGUGUAAAAAUGUGGUUUUUCGUUAAAGUGAACAGUACCGGAUGCUUUUCGUUAAAGUUCUCUCAUCAUCAUUUCUAUUAUAAAGGCAAAUAUGUUUAACAAUCAAGGGUGUUUCGUAAGUCUUUGUUUGGUAACUGAGAAAAUGUGAUCCCAUCUUUUAGUUUCUUUUUUCUUUCUGUUUUUGUGAUUUUGAGAAUUUUGUGGGAUUUUGAGAAUUGCACUGAUUAAAUCCAAUUUAAUUUUCUAAGUUAAUAAAAAGAAUUAUACCAAUUACCCAAAUACUCAGUAAUUUGGUUUCAAAACUAAACAAUCUAUUUGUGUGUGACGCUCUUUUUUCCUAGUUCGGGUUGAAAUCCCGGGCAUGUUUUUAUCGAAACCCUUGUAUACAUACUCUCUCCUAUUUGUAUUUGUACUUAUUCUCUUCCAAUAAAUGAAUAUCGUUACUCUUUUCAAAAAAAAAAUAAUAUUAAAUAAAAACUAAACUAAACAAAUUGUUUAGCAUGUGUAAUUUAUUGCAGGCUCCGUGAUCUUAAACAACUUGGUGAGUUCAACUUACAAAUGAAUUAGCAAUAACAAAUGUUAAGACUUACAAAUAUCUAGGAUAUUAAAUUUCAAGAUAUUGAUUGAUAUGCUGACAUAACCUAAUAAUCUCUUUCCCCAACUUCUUGAAAGUGAGUUACCAAUUUCAUUUUGUUUGUGAUUGUUACUGUGUGUAUAAAUACAUGUAUUAAAUUUGGUAUUUUGGGUUGAAGAGAGGAGAAGAGGGAAGAAAGAGAGAAGGAGGAUAAUUUUAGAAAUUGAAGGUAGAGAGUAACACUAGGUAGACAAAAAUAUAUUUGUGCUUUCACAAUUAACCGCUUAAUAACAUAACAUUUUAUAGAUGGUAUUUGUUAAUACGUUUCGAAAGAACGGUGUUUUUUUAAUUUUCACCAUUUUCAGUAAAAUUGUUGGUAUUUAGCGAAAAGUAAAAUAUAGGUAGUUGAUAUUCACUCACAUUUGUCAUUACUAUUUUGUGCAAGGAAUAGCAUAUCCAAGAUGCUACAACAACCAUAAAAAAAAUAAAAAUCACCACACAAACAUUGCAAGGAAUAAUAUAUCCAAGAUGCUACAACCAACCAACUCAAUCAAGCUUGUGCUUCCUAAUCACAUGUUAUAUAAACAAAUGACACUCCAAAUCCAAACGAAAUCACUUCUAACUAUAAAGCACUAUCAUACAUUAGGCCAACGAUGCUGCUGUCCUCGAAACGUUGGAUUGAGCGUCUUCGAAUUGAUCAUGGUUUAGCUUCUCGGAGCUCAGGCUCGGUGGGAUGAAAGCUCUGUAAACUUGCUCCAUGUUAGGAAUCUCCUUGAGUUCGUGUGCGGCAACUUCAAGCGCAGUGUGUUGGAAAAAAUGGUAGAAUUUUUUGCUGCAGAUGAAGAUAUAAAGCAAGGACAAGAUAGGAAGUGGAAGUAAGAAUGGUGCAUAGACGAAUUUCUUCACCCCAAAAUAACCAAACAUGGUAACUUGGUACAGUAUCAGAGAUGCAAUGAGUCGAACUUGGAUGUGCGGCCACAUCCUGCCAUAGCUUUCAUACGAUGGAACGUAAACUUUGAGUGCCUGCUCGAUGAAACAACAAAAGCUUUAGUUUUCGAUAGCAUAUGCUUGCUUAGGAAACAAGUAGGCUAAGUUGUAUAUCAUUUCAGUAGAGUUUUUCGACUAAAGACUUGCAAGCUUGAAAAAGGCUGAGGAUACCUGAUUUCGAAGGACAAGCCAUCCAAGGCCGAAGUAAAGCACACCAAAUGGAAGAAUCAGCGGAGCAAUAACAGAGUAGCAGAGGACAAUUGUAAUGAUGAGCAUAUCACCAGGUACUCUAGUCCCAUAUCCAAGAUCACUAGGAAACCAAGCUGCCUUCACCUCAGCUUCGGUCUUACAGACAUACUUCCUCUUUAUAUGGAAAAUGAUCAGAGGAACUAGUCGGAACAGUUCAAGACCAUAUCCAACGAAAAACCUGUCAUCAAAGCAACAGUAAAAACCAGUUUACUAAUAAAGGAGUAAUUUAGAUAGUGUGGACAAAUAGUAAAGUAUUUUGCAAUCUUGUUUCGGUUACUGAUAUGGAAAAUAAGAGCUAGAAGACAUAAACUGUUACUUACUUCAGGGCCACAAAGGUGAGGAAGUAAGUUGCAUUGGCAGGGAGGCUGGUUGCAAGUAAGUCAACAAUAGAGUUAGGAUCCUUCUCGAUAGUCUUGAAUGUACUGAAUAAGGUUCCACCUACGGUAACUCCAAUAAAAACAUUGAAGACAGUGAAGUAGAAGUAUUUCCCGGAAGAAGCCCUUACUGCAUGGCUCAGGGAAGGGAUUCCCUCAGUCUUAGACAAAAACAGAAGGAACUUUGGCAAGAAAGCUAGAAAGAGUAUGAGUGCAAUUUGAGGUAGAUAAGCCUCUAGCACUGUCCUAAUCGCCUUUUGCUUCAAAAUUGGCUUUAGAAACGGAAGAAGUUUCUUCAGAUUCUCCAGAGUUGUGAAUGCAGAGAUAGCGGCAAUGGGAACCAUAAAAAACAAAACGGUCAGAGCCACAAUGAUAUACACAACAUAUUGCCGCACCUGUCUCUGAAAAAACUUGAUUUUGAGAUUACGCCAAAGUAGUUGACGAGGUUCAGGAGCCUCUGUGACUAUCCACGUGUCAACAAGUUGGGCAUGUAGAGUCUGAGCUGCAGCAGCUGCAGUCACCCUACUGGUGAAAAAAACUAGAGCGGCAUUUUGCUGCUUCUCUCUGAGAGUGGCUUUCUGUUCAGCCUCCAGUUUUGGGGUUAAUUCAUUAAUCUUCUUAGUGUAGUAAUCAAUACUGUCUACUUUUGCCCCACAAAGACCAAGGAACCCGGUUUUGUUAGUGGGUCUUGUUCCUUCUGAUUUGCCAGUGUCCUUCGAUAUUGCAUAAACUGCUUCAGCGCGCGCAAGCUUCUUCUUAUACCCUUCUAACUCUUUCCAAAUUUUGUUCACCUAUAAGAAUAGCGUUAAUAUGAAUGGAAGAGAAAUACUACUCAAAUGAGGAACACACCAUCAAACAGUCGUUUUACCUAAGCGAUGUUCCGAGAUAUAUAUGACAGUUAACAAAGGCGCAAAAUGAGGAGAAAAGGGGGAAAAACAAGCAUACCUCUUUGUUGUCUGUGACAACCAAUGAUCUGUAAAAUGUAUCAGGGUAGAUGGUCUUAAAAUAAGAAUCGACCUGUUCCUUUCUAAUUUGACCUUCGGGGACGUCAGGUAUGUCUCUGACAAGAAUGGCAAAUUGUUCUGGCUUCGCUUGAGGAGACAUUAGAGCACUGGCUCUCAGGUUGGAGGCAUGUUUAUAUGCCUUCCACAGCAAGACGUAUGUGACAAAAGAAACCCAGUAGACACCAACUAGAAAUGCCCACAACCUAGGACUCUUCUCCUGCACAUACAGAAAGACAUAUGAAAAUACAAUCAGCAUUCAGAAUACAAUUCAAUUGAGAGAAUUAUACCAAAAACCACAGCUGCAAUAAAUCAAAGGGAAAAGAAAAAAAGACCAAGACAUUUCAUGAAAAUGUUUUGUAGCUUACCUUGAGAUGUCCCAUGGAUAAGUGGUCAAGGUCACUAAAAGUGCCAUUGCUUACGCUUGCGUCGGCUAACUUAUGCGCUUCUUCGGUGGCAGCAACUGACAGAAGAAUUGGUAGCAGAACAAUGCUAGAUAAAACCAAUAUACCCAACACUGCCACAUCAAAUAGGAAAGUUAGAACCUUGAGAUUUCUGGCUUUAUAAAUUAGGCCAACCAUUGCAUACUGUUAUUCCAAAACAUGGAAGCAAUAUAAUCGCAGGAAGUAAAGACAAAAACAAGUACAUUAAAACUCAAGAAAUUCAGUAUGUAUUAUGUAACCAAGGUUUCAAAUUCUUCCAGACAGAUUGAAACUGUUAGUAAUUGGUCAAAAUUGUUAUACAACUUACUACUUCAGUCAUAACUACGCUAGUAUGAUAUCGAAAAUCAUCAGCGAAGUAGAAGAUUAUCAAUUCCAAAGCAACAUCUUUCUUGUAAAACAACUGUGGUCAGGUGCCAAUGACAUAAAUUCCCUUCAUUUUACACAAAUCCAUAGUUUUUAGAGUAUAAGCAAAACUGGUACACACUCUUCCGUAAUACAAAUAUUGUCGAAACGUUGAAACCAUUCUAAGAGUUCCAGAUUUCACUUCUCAAAGCCAGAAAUAAAUUAACUUUACCAAUUUCAUCAAACAAACUUCAUCUAUCCAAAUUUACAGCAGUAAAAAAGUUAGAAAUCUGAGAGAAAACUUCUAAAUUAGUCCAUCCAACAAAAACAACCACAAAGCAGCAACAAUUUCAAACUUUUGAGCAAACGGAACAGAACCCAGAAACAGUAUCAUGGUAAAAGCAAAGGAGACAAAGUAAAUUCGAAAACUGUCAAACGGUUAAAAUGGCAGAGAGACAAACAAACCAGUGCUCAUGAACACAAAGUACACAGCAGUGUCGACCCCUGACACGGAAAUAAUUUCCUGCUCAGUGGAAUACAGAGCCUCUUUGAUCCAAGCAAACGGGUUCCGGGUCAUGGACCCGCCCUCCCAUGGAUCCAACCCUCUCAAGAUCCGAUUCGGAUAGUAAACCACAGUGUUCCCAGGCUUUCUCGAAAGCCAUGUGAACAAAAACAUCAGAACCACAAAUAUGAGGAAGGAAGUCCCUAAGGACGUCAAGAACGAACUGAGAUCCAUCUGGGGUUUUCUCUAAAUUGCCAAAGAUUCAAGCUUUUUCUCUCUCUAAGCAGUUUGGAGUGAAAGUUCUAGUGAGAGAGAACAUGCACAGAAGCAAUAGAAAAUCAGAUAGGAAUGGAAAUAAAACGAGAGAAAAUGGAGGGUUAGAGAGAGAGAGACACGUUAGAGGACAUUAAAUUAGAGGAAGGGAAAAGUAACCGUUGGAGGAGGGGGUGGAGGUGGAGGAGGAGGAGGGAGAGAAUUAAAGGAAGGUUGAUAGCUUUUGGAGGUUGUGAAGUUAAAGUCCACGAAAGGCAAUGCAAAUGCCAAAACCUAAAUCAAUGACAAGAAAUGAAAAUAUCUUAAAGCAUAAUUGGCAAGUUGUGGGGCCCUUUUGAUUAGUUGGUACUUUCUAUUUUGAAAAUAUUUUUGCUAGAAAUGGUUAUGAUAACUACUAAUCUAUUUAUUACUAUAAGAUAAGUUUAAAUUUCGAGAUAUAUUUAAUAAAUAAACAUAAAUAUCAAAAUUUAAAUUUAUCUAAUUAUUGUAAAUGAAAUAAUAAAUAUUAUUAUCACUUGAAAGUGAUGAGAAAAGUGCACCUCCUUUAUUUUUUAGGGACAAGGAAUUGAAGUGUUUUAGUUGAAAUGACAAAAGUACGAAUAGAAUGCAUCACAAUCACUCUAUAAAAUUCCAUUAAAUUGGUGUGGCUCCAUCUGAGCCUUAAAAUAUAUUAAAAACUUUAUGUGUGAAGCGGUUCACGUACCAUUAAUUUGUUGAUUGCAAUGAUAUCGACACAUAUUAAUUUAAAUAAUGAAAGGUCGGUAUCAUAUGGACAAUCACAAACUACAUUGUACAUGUUUUUAAUUAUGUGGAGUAAUUACUUUUUAUUAUGAGAGAUUGGGAGACUCUGUAUUUCCAAAGAUGAAAAUGUUGCUUGCAGGAAACAUUAAGGUGGUAAAAACGGGUAAUCUGCAAACGUGUGACGGUGCCUUUAAAUAGAAGAAAGAAAAAAAAAAGAUAGUUACAAUUAUGUAUUGAUAUUGACAUUUUGUAUAGAGCUUUUCGUUUGAAUGUCAUACAUUUAUUAGAAAAUUCAUCAAUUUGAUCGUUAAACUACUGACGUGGCAAGCGUAAGGCCACUCUCUUGUCCACAUGAAUUGAGAAAUUAAUUAUAAGAUGAGGUAUAAGAUAAUUUUUUUCAUUAUGCUAUACACAUAAGCAUAUUAGAAUUUUGGUUUGCAGAGGUAUUUCACAUGCAUUGUAAAUCACAAAUUAACACAUACGUAAAAAAUAAAAUAUUAUUUACACUAAAGAGUAAGCGUAUGAACUCAACUUCACAAUGAUUUAGGUAUAAAAAAAAAAUAGUUCAAAUUUAUCUAUAGCGAGAAUUGAACCUAAAACCCUUCACUUUCAAAUGAAGAGGAAUUUAAGACAUUUAAGAUUCCACCGUAAACUAAUUGGUAAUAUAGAAAGUAACUCAAUUACUUAUGAGCAUAUGUAAUGUUCCUUAUAUCUCCAGUGUGAGAUUCAUACUCUCAACAAGAAUACCACUUGACCAUAAUGCGUAUACUUACGCGACUUACAUUGUAAAAGUAAUGAGCUAAGUAUUUUCCUUAUCAUUUUAAACUUUAGGUGUAAGAUCCCACAUUGUCCAGGGAUGAGGAUCUUGUAAGCCUUAUAUGUAUAUUCUUAUCUCUACCUAGCACGAGGCCUUUUGGGAGCUCACUAGCUUCGGGUUCCAUUAGAACUCCAAAGUUAAGCGAGUUCACGCGAGAGCAAUCCCAUGAUGGGUGACCCAUUAGGUAGUUCUCGUGUGCCCAUGGGUGAGGAUCUUGUAAGCCUUAUAUGUAUAUUCUCAUCUCUACCUAGCACAAGAUCUUUUGAGAGCUCACUAGCUUCAAGUUCCAUCGAAACUCCGAAGUUAAGCGAGUUCGCGCGAGAGCAAUCCUAGGAUGGGUGACCCAUUGGGAAGUUCUUGUGUGAGUUUCCAGAAACAAAACCGUGAGGGCAUGGUCGGGGCCCAAAACGGACAAUAUAGUGCUACAAUGGAAUCGGACCCGGAAUAUGGUGGGGGCUUGAACUGGGAUGUGACAUUAGGGCCUUUCAUUAUCUUUAUAAAAAAAUUGUGGAAAGACAUUUGGGUUGAGAUUUUAACUAAAUUACUGAAUAAAUAAUCAUAAUUAGAUAUAAAAUUCAUCGGCUAUAAGAGUCGAAAUCAUUUACGUCGGCUAUAAGAGUCGAAAUCAUUUACAAAAGAAGAAUAAUAUGCGGGUAAUGCAGUGGAAAUGGCUGGCCUUUCAAUGUGACUUUUCAUGUUAAAUAUUAAAGAUAGUGUUUGGUGAGUGAGGUCGGCCAAGUGCUUUUUCGACUUAAAAAACAAUCUUUUGUGAUUCUGUUUCUUUUUGUAUGUGGGUGGAUUCUUUUCUCUUGUUUUAUCAUCUCUUCUCUUAUACUCUUUUGUUGUUUUUUUUUCUGUAUAAACAAUUCAAAGUAAGAUAUUAACUUGUUUUAAUCGUAAAGCUUAAAUAGAAAGAGAGAUUAGAAUGGAAGAAAAUUCUACUGCUCUGUAUUGGCAUCUAACAAUUAUAUUUGUGAGAUGUUUUAAUCAAAGUUAAACCCAUAAUUGGUAUUUGAAGUCUUUCGUAUUAAGGAAAACAUGUACCCUUUCCACCACUAACACCCAUUUCUGCGAUUGCAUUAUGUCAAAUAGCCCUUGGACAUGUGUCUUUUGGGUUUAUUUUAAUCAUAUAGGUUUUGGGAUUAAAUUGUGUCAAAUAGCUCUUUUUUUUUCUUAAAUAUACUAACUUGGUAUUAGUAACUAAAGAAAAUAACCGUGUGAGAAGAGGAGGAAUGCAAGAAAAAGUAUAGAAUUUUUAGGGUCCCAUUGAAAAAUAAGGAGGGGAAAUUGCAGGAGGUUUCAAAAUGCUUCAAAUUGUAUGAGGUUUCAAAUUUUGGAAACAGCUUAUGCAACACAAGAAAUGACAACGACUAUCAAAUUCUUAAACCCUUAAAUUCUAAAAUUCAACCGCAAUUCGGAAACCAUAUUUCAAUCUCAAAAUCCCCAAGUCGAAAACCAUAAUUCCAAUUCAAAAUCACCGAAGUUCAGUUGAGUUUCUUUUCACCUCUCGCUCUUGUAAUGGAGCUACGCAUUUGGUGACAACUCACAUCACGCGUGUGGGGGAUGUCAUAGGUGGGAUUGUUUUGAACCGAAGUGGUUGUUUAAUACUCUGGCACAUGAUGUAAACAUUUCAAUUCGUAACUAAUAAUAUUAUACUCUUUGAAAAAAAAAUCCCUCAUUCUUUUCAAAAUUUCUAAUUUCAUGUAUGUAUAUUUUUUAGGGAGUUUUAACAAAACACUACCGAUUCACUUUUAACGAAAAGCCACAUUUUUACCUUUAACCGUUACUAUUUACUAUACCUUUAAAAUGGGUUUUUUAUUAAAAUGAAAAUUUUUAUAGACUUUUUGUUAAUUUUUCUUAUUUUUUAUUAUAUUCAGUUCGGUUCGAUAUUACCAAACUUACGUCGGUGAUCCUAAUUUCAAUACCGAUGUUUCAAGAGUGUUUAAUUUCAGUUACCAAAUGAUUCGAUAAUAUCGGUUCCAUUUCUUUUUUUUUUUAAGUUGGAUUUCGAUAUGACUCGGUCGGGUUCCUUUUUUCGUUUUUUUUUUUCGACCCUACUUUGGAGUGUCCACAAGAUAAUAUCGGCGCGGUUUGGUUUUUUCUUUUUUUAUGUCGGGUUUCGAUAUGAUUCGGUCGGGUUCAUGUUUUUCAGCCCUACUUUGGAGUGUCCACAAAAUGGCCCUUACCUCUAUUUUGAAACGGUAAAUAUAUGAGAUUCAAGAUCUUCUUUUCCAAUAAUUUAAUCUAUAUUUUUUUGACAAUAAAACAAUAAUAAUAAUAAUUUAAAUAUUUUUAUUUUGUCAAUUUGUCCAGGUCUUGCAGAUAUCGAAAGCUGCUGUUCAAAUUUUAGGCCUCUAAAAUAUAUUAGUGCUUAAUACGGGAAAAACUUUUUCGAUGAGUGGAUUAUAAAUGUUUUAUGAGUUCUAAUUAUUAGCUAUUAUUCAUUAUGGAUAGAUAUAAAUGUGUAAAAGAAGACAGCAUAUUGAUAAAAGAUUUUUCAAAAUUAAAAGAGCGAUUGAAUUGAAAAAAUAAGGGAUUUGUAAGUUAAAAAAUUUAGAUUCUCGUUAAAUGUAAACUAAACUUUUUUUUUUCUUAAUUUAAUGUUGAUAAUAUCGCCCUUUAGAAAAGAAAAAAAAAAAGUUAGGUUGCGAAAGUUGGCAUUUGACGAAAGUUACGGCUUUAAAUUAGGUAUUAGUUGGAACUUGGGUACCAUGCCACCUCAACGUCAGUAUUCACCCUCAAAUGCAAACCAGCAGUUGUCUUAAAUGCCAGCCAACACGUGUCAACACAAGUACUCUGCCGACAAACAGUGUACGUGACUUAUGACCGUUGCGCGUUCGUAACGCAAUCCGUUGCAAAGGUCCCAACUGACGUGGAGGGACCCAGUUUCGGAUAAGUGGAUUUCUUUCUGUUUUUGUCCGAUACGAGUCAGUGUUGUUUCCGCGUAUUUGUUUUGUCGGUUUUUGCAGAGCUUACAGAUUGUAAUUUGAUGCCACGCAGUGCACAAGAGACUCGUGGGGCCGUUACACGUGGGAGCACAGUAUGGAGGUUGAGAAGGACUGUUGUAUGAGAAGGACCGGACCGAAGGAGUUCGACCCACGUAUGGAUGUGGCAAGUUUUACCUAGUUUAUGUUAAAAAUAGUCAGGUCAUCUCCAACCGAGGAUUGGCCAGAUGACUCAUUUUAACCAUCUGAUAUUCUAAGAUAUUAAUAUUUUAAUAAACAGUACAUAAUCAUAUUUAUCUCCGUCUCCAACCGAGAGCCAAACAUAAUUUAUUAUUUAAAAACUACAAAUUUUGUGAAAUAGAAGUUAUAGGAAAAAAUGGAAUUUAAAAAAAAUAUGAAACAAAUUUUGUAAAAUAAAAGUUAUAGGAAAAAAGUAGAAUUUAAAAAAAUAAAAUAUGCACCAAAUUUUGUAAAAUAGAAGUUAUAGGAAAAAAAUAGAUUUUAAAAAAAAAUAUGAAACAAAUUUUGUAAAAUAGAAGUUAUAGGAAAAAAAAUAUGAAACAAAUUUUGUAAAAUAGAAGUUAUAGGAAGUUAUAGAAAAAAAAGGUUUAAAUUCAUAAAUAAAAAAAAUAAUUGAAUGCAACGGCUAGCUGACUCAGCUAGCCGUUGUAUUCAAAAUUUUCAUAUUAUUCGUGUCGGUUAUAACCAACAUGAUUGCAAUUAAUCAAAAUUAUUCCUGUCUAGCAAUUACUAUUGGUGUUGGUUAUAACCGACACUAUUGCGAUAAACAAAAUUAUUCAUGUCGAUUAUAUCCGACAGUUUUAAGCAAAAUUAUGGCCAGCCCGGGGCUGGAAAGGGCUAACCCUCUGGCCCUUUAGCCCUUUCAGAUUCCAUGGGGCCUACGAGUCAUCUGGCCUAGCCCUCGGUUGGAGACGGUUUUCAGGCUAUUUUCGACCCUCUGAUCCUCUAUACCCUUCGUUAGAGAUAACCUAAAUAUAUUAUAAGGACCAAUUUCCAAUCGUAGUAACAGAUGAAAGUCGUAUGCCACUCACAUGUUUUACAAUACGUUAAUUAUGUGAGUGGAUGACGAUUCAGCUGGAUUGUUACGGUUGGAUCCAUCAAACUCUUCAAUACAUUAGCGGUUAAACUCAUUUAUGCUUGCAUGCAUACGAGCAACUGUACUUAAUACUAUUAGCUGAUUUAUUGUAGGACUUGGAUUCUCUGCCCUCCCAAUUCGGUGCCCUUCCCGUGCCCUCUUGUUUGUGUGGUCACGGUUAAGCCACGUCAAUAUUUUAUAUUACUAUUUUUCUUUUGUCUUAUUAUUUUUAUAAAAAACAAUAUAAAAUGUUAGCAUGGAUUAACUGUGACCACACAAAACAGGAGGGCACGGGGAGAGCACCGAAAUGGGAGGGCAGAGAAUCCAAUUCCUUUAUUGUAUGCUAUGAUUCAAUAUGAAAACAAUGAUUGCUUCCUUGGUUGAUAAGCAAGCAGACUUGAAAGCUUUCCAAUUAUUGAUCCCACACAAAAUCAAUGAAAACUACCUGUGAAACACGAGAAAAUUUUCAUUUUGUUCGAAAUAUGUAUAUAUAGUACAUCACGUGUCAUUAUAUAAAUACAGAGAAAUGUUAUUUUUUUAUGUUAUUAAUUUUUAAUACAAGUAUUGCACCACUUGUAUAAUAAUACGUAACGUAUCAUCUCGUGUUCCAAACACAUUGCAGAAUUUCUCGUAAAAUACAGGAAAAGUAGGGUUCCAUUCUAGUAAGCUCUUUCGAUAAGGAAAGAGAUCUGCUUCGGAUCCCUUCCAUCAAAGUCACUAAAUUCGUCAAUUCGGGUUCUUGAAAUUUGAUCUAACGGCUAAAGUUAUUAUAAUUUUUUAAAGAGACCUCUAUUUUUAGCCGUUAGAUCAAAAUUUAAGAGUUCAGAUUGAUGAAUUUAGUGGAUUUGAUGGAAGGGAUCUGAGGAUCCCUUUCCUUUCAAUAAUGCAUUGCAUUCCUAUUUUUCGUAAAAUACAGGAAAAGUGGGGUUCCAUUCUAGUAAGCUCUUUCGAUAAUGAAAGGGUUCCAUCAAAUUCACUAAAUUCAUCAAUUCGGGUCCUUGAAAUUUGAUGUAACGGCUAAAGUUAUUAUUAUUUUUGAAAGAUAUCUCUGUUUUUAGCCGUUAGCUCAAAUUUUAAGGGUCCAAAUUGAUGAAUUUAGUGGAUUUGAUGGCCCUUUCCUUUCAAUAAUGCAUUGCAUUCCUAUUUUUUGUGGCUCAAAUGAUGACACACCAGUAAGACACAAGAAAAGUGGGAUCCUAUUUUUGUUGUACGUGGUGGUACUGAUACCUGAUUAUACAUGGAAGAAACUACAUUGUACUUCCUUUUUUUUUUUUUUCGUUAAAGUAAUCUUUUUUUUUUUUAAUAUGGUUUGGUGAUUGUCGCUUGGCUGCAGUGACUUCUUAAGUUUUGUAUUAGAGGAAUUUUGGUUCUUUGUUCUUCCUCUUUUCUUAUAUUUAUUUUCUUCAAGUUGCAAAAGAGUCAUUUGUUCCCUCUUCGUUUCUAAUUUACGGGAGGUAAGAUUUUUGUUUUUUCUGAUUAAGUGUAACUUGUAUUUUUUAUAUCAAUAAUUUUUUCUCGUACUACUCAUGAGCAAUCUUGAAUUACAUAAUAAUACUACGACAUAAACAAAAUAUGUAUCACCGAUCACAAAAACUAUUAUUUGAGUAUCAGUUUCAUAAAUUUUUUGUAGUACAAGAGUUUAUUUUAGGACCGAGGAAACCCGAGAUCUAGCACAUUAUAAAGGAAGGAGAUGUGGUGUAUAUAAAUACACACACAGAUGCACACUACUUUUUGAAUGGUUUACCCUUGAUAAACUCAAUCGCAUGAUAUCCAUAUGAAAUUGGAAAAAGCUUUGUUCCAACAAAACCUGCAGAUUUUGCUAGGUUAUUAAAUUCAACUGCUGUUCGCUCCUUGCCCCCAGGAAAAAGGGCCAUCAUCAUCAUGUCGAGGCGAGUGUGUUCCUUGUUUCUGGUGUAUUUUCCAGUACUUCAGGUACUACAAAUUCCACAACUAUUACCUUCCUAGUUUCCGGUAACGCAUUCCAACAGUUUCUCAGCAACUUAAUGCACACGUCAUGCCCAGUUAUGAAGUACCCAGUGCAAAGCACAAGGGUAAAUCAAAUUUUCAUAUUGUGAACAUGCAUGAAGUAGUUUUGAUGAAGAGUAAUGCUAAGGAGACGACGUCCACAUCGUACUACUUUUUUAAUACAAACAGAGGCCAUCUCUAUUAAAGAGAUGGUAAAAUGUAGUUCCGCUAACAUUUUCUUCAAUAACUACUAAAAGUAAGCAAAACCGAACCUUCAUCAUUAUCGACUGAGCAUGUGGUAUUGACUCAAACAUAUUUCCCGCAACAUGCUUCACACCUAUAUAUAAAUGAAAUCAGUAAAGAACGUGAGCCAACUAAUAGUUAAAUAGGAUCUGUAGCUGUUGCAUUUGGACCAUAAUUCAAAUAAGAAAGUGUGUGAAUUAAAGGCUAUUUGUUUAAGUAUUUCAGCUUUAGCCAAUUCUUUAUAUUUUGGUUUUAGUUUUCAGUUUUCUAUUUCAAUUCUUGUUUUUUCCAAAAAUUUGUAUCGUAACUGUUUUCACUUUUUCAAAAAAUGACAAUAGAGAACUUAAAUCAAGCCAAAUUUUGAAAACCAAAAACCGAAAACCACUUUUGUUAAUUUUCAAUUGGUUUUCAGUUUUCAGUUCUCUUUGGAUAUACUAACCUUGAUAUUUAGGAGCACGGGCAAUAGCAUCAGGCAAAUCGAAGUUAAUACCAUGGAUGUAGGGAUAUUUAGAUAUACUAUUUUCGCAAGAGAAUUACCCAUGUGCCACCUCCUACGUCCAUCAGCUCUGUCACCUCUUCAAAACCUUUAUAUUCAGUGAAUACCUUUUGAUCAAAACAUAUAGCAGAGUAAGCGGUCAUAGCCUCACUGAACAAUCGACCAAGCUCAGGUCUCUUUGACAUAUGCUCGAAUGUAGUCUCUCCGUGGGCCUUGUAGAAAGGAUCGCACCCCUCUUCAAGCACUCAGUGCUCGAUGAUAGCUUUAGUAUUGGGGCUAGAGAAACUCCAUUCUCAUUGGAAACAAAACAAAGCGAGUCCUUUGUUAGGGCAUAAGUCCUUUCUUGCUUGGACUUAUCAUCUGGGGCAUGGCCUUGGAGAUGUAGAUAGGAGGCAAUUGCGCUCAGCAACCUUAGCAUUCUCUCCAAACUCAACAUUGCAUUUGGAUGAUUUGCAGUCGGAAUUCGAGAAGCGAUUCCUCCGCAGUAAGAUGAGCUCCAGGCCCUGAGUUGGAAAGGAUAUUGAAGACACUUAGGUCAACUGCAGCUCUUAGAACCAUUUGAUUGCAGGUGGAAUUUGUCAAACCCCAAGCUGAGAUGUAAUUUUCUAAACUUAAUCCCUGGCUUUCCAUCUUUUUUUUUUUUUUGGAUUUUCAAGCUCUCAGUCAAUUUUAGUUUGUUGGAUUGCCUUGUUUAUUUUGGCUCCGAGCAUCAGUUCUCUAUAUAUACAGAUACACUUGCAUGCAUGAUACACGUCGUUUUGAGCGGAAAAAAGUGGGUGAGCAUGUCUAGCCAGCUGGGUUUAGCUAAGGGGCGCCUAACCAUAUAUGGCCUCCAAGAAUAGUAGGUUUUUAGGUAGAUAACUCACCAAACUCUUUACAACAACAACAAUCAAGUCUUAUCUCACUAGGUGAGGUCGGCUAUAUGGAUUAUAGAACAUCACAGCGCUCGGUUUUGCGACGUAUCUUUUGUUAGCUCCAAAUACUCCAUAUUUUUCGUUAAUUACUCUUUCCAAGUCUUCGUCUCAAACUCUUUGACAAAAAAUACCCACCAAACUCAAGACAAAUUGGAAGGAAUGGAUGGAAACUCUCAAACAUUGUCCAUGGAAUGUUGAAGGUAGAAUACCGUUAGAGCAUUAGUAAGGGAGAAGAAAUGAAGGACCCCCACAUGUAAGACCAUUAGUAAGGGUUAUAAUUAUCACCCUUAAUUUCGUGUAACUAGCCACGACUUUUAGCAAAUUCACCAACAUUUCGUGUAAUAUUUGGCAAAUUCACCGACUACACAUCCCUAAUUAAUAUAUAUCAACGAAUUCAAGUGGGCAUUGGACUAGCUAGAGGUAGCCACGAAAUGAAAGGUUGUCACCAGCGUUGAAGAUUUUAAAGAAUUAUAGAUUAGGGCAUGUCUAAUGCAAGGCAUGAGUGGUGGAUUAUCACAGUGAUUAUGAUCGGUCUUUUUAACUCAUUGUGUUUCAGAUUCAAAUUAUCUUUCCACUCUUUAAUGUAGUUUGAGUAGAAAUUUUGCUUAUUGAAAAGGAAAAUACUUAGGUAUUAUCAAUGAAUACUCACUUUUUGAUUUGGCUCAAUAAAAAAAUGUCACGUGUUUCAUUUUUAUUAAUCCCAAAGAAAAAUUAAUAACAUGUCCAUUAUUUUUUAUCAGAGUAAAUCGUAGCCAUAGUCCUUCAACUUUAAUCAAAUUUGAGCAAUGGUCCCUCAACUAAAAAUCUAUUAUCAUUGGUCCCUCAACUCAUCAAAAUGUGUAGCUAUGGUUCUUUUCGUCAAUUUUGUUAGAAUUUUGUCAAAAUAAGUUAUGUUGGAAGGAUCAUUGCUACAAUUAGAGUUCCUCAACUCAUCAAAAAGUGUAGAUAUGGUCAUUUUUGUUUAACUUCGUCAGAAUUUUGUCAAAAUGAGUUAUGUUGGAAUGACCAUUGCUACAAUUGGGUUAAAGUUGAGGGACCAUUUCUCCAGUUAGAUUAAAGUUGGACUAAUGGUAAUGGAUUUUUAGUUGAGGGACCAUAACUGCAUGUUUUGAUGAGUUGAGGGGCUAAUGAUAUUUGAUUUUUAGUUGUUGGACCAUUGUUCCAAUUGAGUUAAAGUUAAAGGACCAUUGCUAUAAUUUACUUUUUUAUAACAAUUAAACAUGUGUUAAAAUAUCAUUGCACAAAAUUAAAAUGUGAGUAGUACUCAAGUAUUAUCUAUUAAAAAGGGUUAAAUCAUGUUUUAAUGGGUUAUAUAUAUAUAUAUAUAUAUAUAUAUAUAUAUAUAUAUUAUAGACUGAAUAAUGUGUAUUUAAUUAGUAUUUGGGUAAAUAACAAAAAACUACCUCAAUUAUUGGGGUCACGACAGUAUCAUACCUCACCUUUUAAAAUUGACAAGGUCAUACCUCAUCUUUAGAAUUUGGUCUAAUAUUAUACCUUUCGUUAGCUUGACAGUGAAUUUCUCAGUUAAAUUGCUUGAUCCGGGACCAUUUUCUAUUAAAAAAUUAAAAAAUUAAUAAUUUACCUUAAAAAAAAAAAAAACCCAAACACCCAUCUUCCCCUGACCCCUUUCCUUUCCCUGCAACCCAGAUCCUUUCCCCUUCCCUGCAACCCCCGACCCUUUCCCCACCCACGUCAACCCACAUCCUCAUUAUCUGCCGCCCACCCCUCUUCCCGAAAUGGACCUACCCAGAUUCGUAAUCGAAGCCUCCGAGGCCGAAUCAAUGGAAGCAGUCCAACCUCACAGUAUUCAAAUUCUCAGCCCAAAUCGCCCCGCAGGCCACCGAUCAAACCCUCAAGACCUUCAUUUUCCGCAUCGACCGCCACUCCAAGCCCUCAAUUUUCCCCACCCACUACCACUGGUACACCUUCGAAUUCGCCGACCUGCCCCAAAUCCUCCACGUCUACGACACCGUUUUCCACGGCUUCUCUGUGUCUCUCACUCCCGACCAGGUCUCCGCCAUCUCCGACCACCAUUCAGUGUGUUGUUGUGAUCCAGGACCGCCGCCGGAGUCUCCACACUACUCGAUCCCCACAAUUUUUGGGGCUCAGGAACCAGAGGGGGUUGUGGUCGGAAUCGAACUAUGGCUCCGACGUCAUCGUCAGAGUAUUUGACACCGGCGUCUGGCCGGAGCGUCGAAGUUUCACGGAUAAGAAUCUUGGGCCGAUUCUGAGGCGGUGGAAAGGGGUUUGCAGAACUUGACGAAUGAGGGGAGGAGCUGGAGGACGGUGAGGUUGCAGGGAAAGGUGGGGAGAGGUGGGUCUUGGGGGAGAUGUUGGCGUGGGUGGGGAAGGGGUCGGGGGUUGCAAGGAAAGGGAAGGGAUCUGGGCUUUGGAUUUGGGUUGCAAGGAAGGGGAAUGGGUCGGGGAAGAUGGGUGUUUGGGGGUUUUUUAUUUUUAUUUUUUUAAGGGUAAAUUAUUAUUAUUUUAAUAUUUUAUUAAUUUUUUAAUAGAAAAUGGGCAUCGAAUCAAGCCACGUCAGCAUUUAACUGGGAAAUUCACGGCCAAGCUAACGGAAGGUAUAACAUUGGACCAAAUUCUAAAGAUGAAGGAUGACAUUGUCAAUUUUAAAAGAUGAGGUAUGAUACCUGACCCUAAUAAUUGAGAUAAUUUUUUGUAAUUUAUCCUUAGUAUUUUGUAUAUAGUAACAGUUUUCAGAUAAAAGAAUUGAAAAACAGGAUAUAAACUUCUUCUGCUCA